rnacentral:lncRNA from 1 species
ACUUCCCCAUUCCUCAUUUUCCUAUAUCGAUACUACAAUUUAUAAGCAACAGUUAGCCAUGGCCAUCCAGCAUCUGCUCCUCAUCGUCUUCCUGGCUUCCGUCCUCCAAGCGGCCACCUCCGACACAGCGUACGACCUUUUGGAGAAAAACAACUUCCCGCGGGCUCUCCUGCCUCAGGGUGUGAAGUCGUACGUGAACCAUGGGGGCGCCGUUGAGGUGACCCUCCCUGCCUCCUGCGAUUUCAACGUUACGGUUGCCGGUGGAUCACACAAGAUUCGGUUUGACAGCAUAGUCAGUGGGGUUAUCCGGCCCGGAUCCAUAACUCAACUGGGCGGCGUGAGGAUCCAGUUUGAGUGGGAUUUUCUUGCAUUCCACACGGUUCAACGCGUCGGUGACAAGCUCAGGUUUACUGGUAGUGAGCAUGCAGCCACGUUCGACCAGUCAUUUCCGGUUAGCAACUUCGUGCAGAGCGCCAGGUGCAGCUAAGGGUCUGAUUGAUUAGGGAUGCAUCGCACGCAUGCUUUACUAUAAUGUGUAUGCAAGAUGCAUGUGUCUCUGUGAGUCCGUUGCUUUAUGUAGAAUGAAUAAACUGAUUAUGUAAUAAGUCAUGGUUCCAAGACCAAAUAUUAUUGUGAUGAUCAUUUUUUUUGCGCAGUUAUUUAUUGUGAGAUGUUGCAAUGGUUCCUCCUACCCUCAGGAACAAGAAAUUCCACAUGAUAUACUCUGUCAGAGUCUCGCAGGUAAUUAGAAAUAAUCUUGAUCUACAUAGCAUCAGAUCCACAAGGGUGUCCGAUGGGUUGUAAAAUAUCGCAGGGCUUACUGAAAAAUAGAAGAGCAAAACAACUCAAUCCUAAUGUGUAAUAUUCUUUGUGACAUCUGACAUUAACAGCCACUAAAAUAAGAAAGGAGAGCAAGGUAUAUUUGAUCUUUCACUCCCCAUGCAUUAUAAGUUCUACAUGUUAAUAAAUGCCUAGACACCUUCCCCCCGAAAAAAACAAGAAGAAUGCCUAGACUCUUAUUUAGUUCAUUUGCAGAAUGUUCUCUAAAAAUAAUCAUUGCAUUUCUCUGAAAAGAUCAACAUUGCUUUAGAAAACCGUGGAAAAAAACAUCAGCAAUAUUUUCUUCUUUCAGGGGAUCAGCUAUAUUUGAUGGCAUACAUAAAGUAAGUAUAUUCCAAUAUUCAGUGAGCAAAUCCCCAAGUAGUAAUUCCCAUUCAGCAACAGGGAUGAUAUUAAUAUUUUCUUGUGAUCCGUACAAAAAGUUCAAAAUUAGCCAAAAUACUGAAGGGGGGUGUCCCGGUAGCUACACCUACUUUCUAUGGCCAGAAUCGGUGGAAUCGGAUGCGGCGGCCCAAGAUUUGGUAGCAGACAUCCCGGGCGGCAGGGUGGCGGCGGGGCUGAGAACAGCCGAUUGAGUUGCGGCGGCGGCAUGAGCUGCGACAGUCGGUCAGACUAGGUGUGGGGUGGCGACCGUCGGCGGUGGGGUAGUCUCAUCGCGAGUGGUUGGGUUCCUGCUGCAUUGUUUUUGGUUUCAGCGCUGCUGAUGUGUAACAAAAUUUUGGGUAAUUUUCUUUUGCAACAAAUAGGUAUAUAGGGCAUCUUUUGGACACUUUUUUUGCCCAAAGUGACCUAACUGACAAUUUUUUUGACACAACGGCUAUUUUACAUCAUCCGUCGAAGAUGCUCCACUACAAGAAAGCAUAUUAAGCUGAGUGUGCAGACCACCUAGCAAAGGCUGAUUUCGCCUCGGUGGGUUUGACACUCAGCGUAGCGCACUCAAGGUACAUCAUGUCGGCAUACCGACGUAAGCCGAGUGCCUUUCGUCCACUAGUAGAGAAAUGGCAGAACAAAAUAUCGUAGGGUGUGCGAUGGGUUGUCCGAUUGUGAAUUAUGUCUGGUGCUAUGUUUGCUUGUAAAAAAUGAGUAAUUGUAUAAUGUAGCACUUAUGUUAGACCUAGUCGAGCCCAUUCAUCGCACACGGUUUUGAAAGCGUGUGUGUUGGCACCCCAAUCGCCAACCCAUCCGAGCACACGAUUUUUAAUUAUAACCGUAUGUGAUGUACCCUUCCUAUUGCACAUAGUUUGUAUGUUCUAACUAUGUGUGAUGGACUCAAUAUCGCAUACAAUUUUUAUGCUCUAACAGCAGCCUAGGCUCGAGAUCAACCCAACGCGAUGGUUGAUGGACUAUGAGCAGGCCCUUCUACUAUAUUACUGAUCACUAGUUUAAAUAGGCAUUAUACUUCUCUCUUAUCUCCUGGCUGGGAUUUGGAUUAUGACAUCAGGCGGUGUAAUCGUGUUGCUGUGAGGGUGGACGGGCGGCUAGCUAACAAACCAAUUUCCGCAAUUUCAAAUUCUAAUCCCUAGCAAUUCCUCUCGAUCGAGUGAGUUGCUCACAGUUGGUAUAAGAUUCAGUGGUCCUGGAGUUGCCGCGACACCAUCACUGGAUGCGGUGGCGUGAUCAGCGGUGAGUGGAGGCGAUGGACAAGCCGUACGAGGAAGGGUGCAACGUGUACGCGCUUCAACGAGCGUAUUUCACCGUAGGUCUGGACCGGCUCUUCAAGGAUCACGAUGAGAACGCUCUAUGGCUUGCUUUCGGCUCAUGACCCAACAAUUAUAAUAGCAUGGAACAAUAAAAAAUAUAAAUAUGUUGGAGACGUAUCAUAACCCAACAAGAUCUAAAUUAAAUAUAUUGCUUGGAGUUGUUUUUUAGUUUAGUUGCAUUGCACAAGAAAACUUUAAGAGAAGUGGAAGGUGGAGGGGUAGGCACCUGCUCCUCUGCACUCUUCAUUUUGGAUGUUAUGUAUGAGUCUGUGCUGGCCUGAGUAGGCAUCCUGAAAGAGAUGAUCUGGACAAUGAGGAGAUAAUCAUUCUAUGCACCGCAUACCGAUGUAAAACUCAAGUAUAUCUAAAUGAAAUAUUUCUUUCUUGCGGGUGUUUUAUGUUUUAGUUGCACUGCACAACAUUAUUUGAAGAGAAGAGAAGCCUCAUCGGUACCCAAGCCAACAUAAAGGAUCAAACUGUUGGGGAUGUUGAUGUUUCCCCUUGAUUCAUUUUUAGGUUUUUGCAUAUGUUUCAUAUGUUGGCUGUGAAGUGCGUAAAUGACUGUUGCUCUGAAAUUUCAAUUCUAUAUGCAUGUCUAUUAUGAGAUGCAAAGCUUUGUGCAAAUGAAUGAUGUAUGCCUAUGUUUAUUUGAAUGUUUACUUUCAAUUUCAUUCACGUGACUAGUUAAGUAAUACAAAAAUUGAGGAGUGUUUCAUCUGACUAUCAUUAGCUGGGGAGAGUUCCUAAAAGAAAACAUUUAUACCCCUAACAUUUUUUUAGAAAGGAGGCGCUUCCUCGGCCAUAAACUGAGGUCCUUACAAAUCCACAAGUUCAACGAUCCGAACAACAAAGUUAAAAACAAAAGAUACAAGCCUGCAGGCAGAAUCACAGCGGCGCAGCGCUGACAAGCCAACAACGAGAAGGAAAUGGGCUAUCGAGGUAGCGAGGGGCGGUGAUGAGCCGGUGAUGUUCCCUACGGUGGUCGGCGCAUCUCAGUGCACCUUGCUCGCACCUUUGUUACGAGCUCCUGCACGCGUCCUCUUUCCUGUGGUUUUGCUAGUAGCUUAGUAGCUGGAUGCUUGAUGAAAUGAACAUACAAAAUGAAGGUGGUUAUUCGUAUGAAACUGCUUGUGGCAAGAAGGGAAUAGAAAGCGGGACGAAAUCACAUGUGCUGUCCAUGAUAUUGGAGGCGGUUUGCACAACCGCCGGCUUCGUGCGGAGUAUUAACGAAUCAGGCUUUGAGGAGGAAAUGAAACAAGUGUUGUAAUAUAUUCCAAAAAUAUUUGGUUGUAGGAAACAUUUGAAUUAAUAGUAUAUGAGAAAAAACUAAAAAAACCAUAUUAUAUAUUGUAUAGUUGAAAAAUAUUUGUCCAAUAUAGGUAGUAAAAUAAUAUAAUGGAUUUUUUCCCAUGCAUGUUGGGUGGGCCUUCGAUGAGGUGGCAUAUGUGCAUGGCUUAUAUGUGUAUGUUGAAAUAAAUAGAAUUAAUGAGGGUCAAUUCAUAAUAAAAAAUAAUUCUCAUGCAUGUUGUGCUGGAUCUUUGAUGAUGUGACAUGUGUGCAUGUUAAGAUAAUAGAAAUAGCGAGGAUAAACUAUUUAGGUACGUAGGAUAUGUUUUCAAUCUCAUUUCACGGUACGUAUUGAUUAUGCAGAUUUGAGGAACGUUUUGGCAAAACCAUUAACAAUAGUAUGUUCUAGGCCAGAAAUAAAUAUGAUUUAAUGGGAUGAUAUAUUUAGCAUAUUUGACGAGGCGGUUGAUGGAAUGAUAAUUAGGAACAAAAUAAAUGCAAUUAAAGUACGAUUGACUUUGAUUUCGUUGGGCAGCAUAUAUAAUACCCGGCCUGCCUCAGUCUAGACGUACUUCCCCAUUCCUCAUAUUCCUUGAUACAAUUUGUAAGCAGCAACAGUUAGCUAGCCAUGGCCAUCCAGCAUCUGCUCCUCAUCGUCUUCAUGGUUUCCAUCCUCCAAGCGGCCACCUCCGACACAGCGUACCACCUUUUGGCGAAAAACAACUUCCUGCGGGCUCUCUUGCCUCUGGGCGUGAAGUCGUACGUGAACCAUGAUGGGGGCGCCGUUGAGGUGACCCUCCCCGCCUCGUGCGAUUUCAACGUUACGGUUGCCGGUGGAUCUCACAAGAUUCGGUUUGACAGCAUAGUCAGUGGGGUUAUCCGGCCCGGAUCCAUAACCCAACUGGGUGGCGUGAGGAUACAGGUGGAGUGGGUUUCUCGCAUUCCACACGGUUCCACGCAUUGGUGACAAGCUCAGGUUUACUGGUAGUGAGCAUGCAGCCACGUUCGACCAGUCAUUUCCAGUUAGCAACUUCGUGCAGAGCCCCAGAUGCAGCUAACACUAGUAGAAAAAGGGUCAAAUGUCAAGCACAUUAGUGCCGGUUUGCUUUUGAGCCGGCAUUAAUGGGUGCAUUAGUGCCGGUUCCAACGGCUAGCCAGCCGCUUUUAUUAGUACCGGUUCGUGGCCGACCUUUAGCACCGGUUCGUGCCACGGACCGGUACUAAAGUGAGUGGUGGCAGGAUGUUGUCAGUCCGGGGCCCCUCCAGCACCUUUAGUACCGGUUCAUGGCACGAACCGGUGCUAAAGGUCGUCCUACAUAAACCCUUCGUCCACCCGAGCUCGCUCUGUUCUUCCCCUUUUCCGUCUCCUCUCUGUUCUUUCCCUCUUCCUCUCGAGCUCAUCACACAUUUUGCCCAAAAUUUGUCAAGAUUUGAUGGCCCCCAUCCAUUCAAAUGAUCAUAAAGGUUAGCAACUUUGUCCUUUCAUCUCUCAUUGCUAGAUUAGCUCUUACAAUGCUUUGUAUAGUGAUUAAUUUAUGAGUUUAGUAAUUUGGUAGAAAAUAUAUGUGCUAGUAUUUGAUUUAUAUGUAAUUUGUGGUCAAAACUAACACUUAGUUUGCAUAUGUAGGUGUGGUUUACUUAGUGCCUUCUAAAUCUCUGUCGUAACCACAGUCGAUCGCCAGCACCGUUCCAUCGCCGGCACCACCUUGUGGUGAGCCUCUUGUUCAUGAAUGUUUUACAUUACCAAAUUGAUGUUUGUGUGAUUUGGAUAUAUAGUUACUCGUAUAAUUAUCUUACCCGUAUGUUGUUUGUUAUACAUAGUGCCAUGGUUUUGAUAUUCGUCCCCGUCGGCCCUCGUCCUUGUUAUGAUUCGGAUAUGGUAUAUUCUCUUUUAAAACUAGUUGUUGCAUUUCGUGUUUAUGACAAAUUAUGCCCAUCAAGUUGACAUAGAUAUUUUUGUCUAGGAGGUUUGUGAACCGGAAAUUCCAACCAACCCUAUUGUCGAGAGGUUAAAUUUAGUUGAAAGAGAAAACGAGUAUUUGAAAGAAAAAUUGAAAAGAAUUGAGGGGGAGAAGAUGGAAUUGAAGUUGCAUGUUGCCGAUGUCGUCGAUGAUCACAAGAUCAAGAUGGAGAAAAUGCGCUUGAAGAUUAGAAAGAUUAGAAAAUAUGCCAUUGAUAGUGAGGCUUGGUAUCAUUAUGCUGUUGGAUCAAUUGUUACCUUAGUUGCGAUCUUGAUCGCAUUUGUUGUUGUAUUUAAAUUCUUUAGUUAGAGAGUUAUUUGUUUGUUGCAUUUAAGGCUUGUAUGAACUUUAUGUAUGAACUUGUAUUAAUUUGGUCUAUUCGGUGUUGUGUAAUGAAGAUGAGCCGACAAUGGAUGUACGAUGACCGAUGCUCUCCCGAGUUCAUUAAUGGCGUGCAAACUUUUCUGCUUGCGGCUGAGGCAAACAAGCGGGCGGAUGGUUUUAUGCCUUGUCCAUGUUUAGUCUGUAAGAAUUAUCAACAUUACUCUACAUCUAGAACCAUUCACGUCCACCUGUUUAAGUCCGGUUUUAUGCCCCACUAUAAUGUUUGGACCAAGCACGGAGAAAGAGGGGUUAUGAUGGAAGACAAUGAAGAAGAAGAGGACGACGACAGCUAUCCUGGCCAUGGGUUCCCUGAAUACGAUGAUACAACAAUGGGGGAAGAAGCUGAGCCGGGAAUGUGGGAAGAAGCUGAAGAAGAGGCAUCAGAUGAGCCCGCUGAUGAUCUAGGUCGGGCCAUUGCCGAUGCAAAGAGAAACUGCGCAAGUGAUUUGGAGAAGAAGAAGUUGCAGCGCAUGUUAGAGGAUCACAAGAAAUUGUUGUACCCGAAUUGCGAAGCUGACAAGAAAAAGUUGGGCACCACACUGGAAUUGCUACAAUGGAAGACAGAGAAUGGUGUAUCUGACAAGGGAUUUGGAAAGUUGCUGGUAAUGAUAAAGAAUAUACUUCCAAAGGACAACGAAUUGCCCGAGAGUACGUACGAAGCAAAGAAGGCUGUCUGCCCUCUAGGGUUAGAGGUGUAGAAGAUACAUGCAUGCCCUAAUGACUGCAUCCUCUACCGCGGUGAGUACGAGGAUUUGAACGCUUGCCCGGUAUGCGGUGCAAUACGCUAUAAGAUCAGGCGCGAUGACCCCAGUGAUGUCGAGGGCGAGCGCCCCAGGAAGAAUAUUCCUGCCAAGGUGAUGUGGUAUGCUCCUAUAAUACCACGGUUGAAAUGUUUGUUCCAAAACAAAGAGCAUGCCAAGGCGAUGCGAUGCCACAGAGAAGACCGUAAGAAAGACGGAAAGUUGAGAGUACCCGCUGACGGGUCGCAGUGGAGAAAAAUUGAGAGAAAGUACGGGAAGGAGUUUGCAGAUGACGCAAGGAACGUAUGGUUUGGUCUAAGCGCAGAUGGCAUUAAUCCUUUCGGGGAGGAGAGCAGAAACCAUAGCACCUGGCCUGUGACUCUAUGUUUGUAUAACCUUCCUCCUUGGUUGUGCAUGAAGCGGAAGUUCAUUAUGAUGCCAGUGCUCAUCCAAGGCCCUAAGCAACUCGGCAACGACAUUGAUGUGUACCUAAGGCCAUUAGUUGAAGAACUCUUACAGUUGUGGAAUGGAACAGGUGUACGUGCGUGGGAUGAGCACAUGGGGGAAGAAUUUGACCUAAAGGCCUUGCUGUUCGUGACCAUCAAUGAUUGGCCUGCUCUAAGUAACCUUUCAGGACAGACAAACAAGGGAUACCGCGCAUGCACGCACUGUUUGGAUGAUACCGACAGUAUAUAUUUGGACAAUUGUAGGAAGAAUGUGUACCUGGGACAUCGUGGAUUUCUUCCGAGCAGGCAUCCCAUAAGAAAGAAAGGAAAGCAUUUCAAAGGUGAGGCGGAUCACCGGACGAAGCCUCGCCACCGUACUGGUGCUGAUGUACAUGAUAUGGUCAAGGAUUUGAAGGUAGUCUUUGGAAAGGGUCCUGGCGGACAACCUGUUCCGAAUGACGCUGACGGACGCGCACCCAUGUGGAAGAAGAAAUCUAUAUUUUGGGACCUGCCCUAUUGGAAAGAUCUAGAGGUCCGCUCUGCAAUCGACGUGAUGCACGUGACGAAGAAUCUUUUUGUGACCCUGCUUGGCUUCUUGGGCAUGUAUGGGAAGACAAAAAAUACAUCUGAGGCACGGGAGGACCAGCAACGUAUGCAUGGAAAAGAUGGCAUACAUCAGGGUCAUGCCAGCUACACUCUUACCAAAGAAGAGAAGGAAAUCUUCUUUGAAUGCCUGCUCAGUAUCAAGGUACCGUCUGGCUUCUCGUCGAAUAUAAAGGGAAUAAUAAACAUGGCAGAGAAAAAGUUCCAGAACCUAAAGUCUCAUGACUGCCACAUGAUUAUGGCGCAAUUGCUUCCGGUUGCAUUGAGGGGGCUUCUACCGGAUAAUGUUCGAUUAGGCAUUGUGAAGCUAUGUGCAUUCCUCAAUGCAAUCUCUCAGAAGGUAAUCAAUCCAGAAAUCAUACCAAGGUUAGAGAAUGAUUUGGUGCAAUGUCUUGUCAGUUUCGAGUUGGUGUUCCCACCAUCCUUCUUCAACAUCAUGACGCACGUCCUUGUUCACCUAUGCGAAGAGAUUAACGUUUUGGGUCCUGUAUUUCUACACAAUAUGUUCCCCUUUGAGAGGUUCAUGGGAGUCUUAAAGAAAUAUGUUCAUAACCGUGCUAGGCCAGAAGGAAGCAUCUCCAAGGGCCAUGAAAAUGAGGAGGUCAUUGAGUUUUGUAUUGACUUUAUUCCUGACCUUAAGCCGAUUGGUGUUCCUGAAUCGCGGCAUAAGGGCAGACUGGAUGGAAAAGGCACGCUAGGAGGGAAUAAAAAUUAUGUAUGGACGGACAUUCUAUCACUGAAGCACACUACACAAUUAUACAGAAUUCCGCCUUGGUGGCUCCGUAUAUGGACGAACACAAGAAUUUUCUACGCUCCAAACACCCGGAGCGGUCUGAUGACUGGAUUACACGUGAACAAACCAGGAGUUGCGCCGGCUGGUUGCAGACACGUACCAUGCAUGACGCCUCUAUUGAAGAUGACAUGUACUCACUGUCCCAGUUACCAUCUUCGAAUAUAAUGACUUUCAAAGGGUACGAGAUAAAUGGUAAUACAUUUUACACGAUCGCCCAAGAUAAGAAGAGCACCAACCAAAACAGUGGUGUCCGCUUUGAUGCAACAACCAAGACGGGAAAGGAAACAUAUUAUGGUUACAUAGAGGAGAUAUGGGCACUUGACUAUGGACGUGGUUUGAAGGUCCCUUUGUUUCGGUGCAAAUGGGUCAAUAUGACACGAUAUGGGGUAACGGAAGACCCGCAGUAUGGAAUGACAACAGUGGAUCUCAACAAUCUUGCGUAUGCAGACGAACCAUUCGUCCUAGCUAAUGAUGUGGCACAGGUUUUCUAUGUGAAGGAUAUGUCUACCAAGCCGAGAAAAAGAAAAGAUAAGGAAGCGAAUGCAUCAUACGAUGAGCCAAAACGCCACAUAGUUCUUUCUGGGAAGAGAAACAUCGUGGGAGUGGAUGACAAGACAGACAUGUCAGAAGAUUAUGAAAAGUUUGAUGAAAUUGCUCCAUUCACAGUGAAUAUUGACCCGAGCAUCCAGUUAAAUGAUGAAGAUUUUCCAUGGCUACGGCGCAAAGGGACACACGCAAAGAAAAAGUUUCACACCCAAAGAUCUGGGAAGUGAUCGGCUUCACUAUCAUCACUUUCUUCUGUGUUAAACACCCUGGAGGGAAUCUCUGUAAUAGUUAGGGUAGUUAUGUGUUUUGGCAUUUGAAACGCGAACAAAUUUUAUGUGCAAACAAAUUCUUUCAUGCAUUUACUGAUUUUUUUCAGCUAAAUGACCCUGAAAUUGAAAAGCAUUUCAAAUGAACUCGGAAAAGGUUGAAAGUUGGCAUGGUAUCAUAAUUUCACCCACAUAGCAUGUGCAAAAAAUUAGAGAGGGUUACUGCAAAAACUGGAUGCACUUCGUGUACAAAAUGGAUAAUCUCUUUCGAAGUAUCAGGGUUUCGGACGAAAACUCAUCCGUUUCAAAGGCAUUUCAUUUUUUAAAUAACCUAAGCAUUACCAAAUUGAAUAUAAUGAUAAAACACACUAAUAUUAAACAUAAGAUAAAAGAAUCACUGGAAAAUCUAUUUUCAAAGUUAAGUUAUUCACAAACUACUGAUUCACACAAAUUUUUCAAAUAAUUAAAAAUGUAAACUAUUCAAAUUUGUAAACUACCGGCACUAAUAGAAAGUUUGUACUUUUUUGUACCUAAAGCAAAAAUAUUCACAAAGAAACUCUAAAUACAGCAAAAACAACUCAAAAAUAAAUAAAACAAAAAUAAAUAAAGCAAAAAAAUAAGAAAAUAAAAAAGCCCGCCUACUGCGCCAUAGCGGCCUGCAUACGACUAGAAACCCAACCUGUUGUUGGGCCAGGAUGCAGGCCCGCAAAGGCCCAGUAGGCCCACAGGGCAGCACAGAACAUUUAGGCCUAGUAGGCCUGCUUUGGAGAGGAGCUCGAGAGAGCUACCGCACUGCGGCUUAUAAACCAGUGCGGGCGCCCCUCGGCUAGCGAGGUGGGACUAAACUUGCCACACCGCACCUGCGCCAGCGCACCCCUUUAGUAACGGGUGGUGGCUCCAACCGGUACUAAAGGGGGGCCUUUAGUACCGGUUGCANNNNNNNNNNNNNNNNNNNNNNNNNNNNNNNNNNNNNNNNNNNNNNNNNNNNNNNNNNNNNNNNNNNNNNNNNNNNNNNNNNNNNNNNNNNNNNNNNNNNNNNNNNNNNNNNNNNNNNNNNNNNNNNNNNNNNNNNNNNNNNNNNNNNNNNNNNNNNNNNNNNNNNNNNNNNNNNNNNNNNNNNNNNNNNNNNNNNNNNNNNNNNNNNNNNNNNNNNNNNNNNNNNNNNNNNNNNNNNNNNNNNNNNNNNNNNNNNNNNNNNNNNNNNNNNNNNNNNNNNNNNNNNNNNNNNNNNNNNNNNNNNNNNNNNNNNNNNNNNNNNNNNNNNNNNNNNNNNNNNNNNNNNNNNNNNNNNNNNNNNNNNNNNNNNNNNNNNNNNNNNNNNNNNNNNNNNNNNNNNNNNNNNNNNNNNNNNNNNNNNNNNNNNNNNNNNNNNNNNNNNNNNNNNNNNNNNNNNNNNNNNNNNNNNNNNNNNNNNNNNNNNGCCACCCCCGUCCUCGUCGCGCCGUCCACGUCGCCGGCCCGUCCCCAUCCCCGCACCGGCCCGCGUCCCCGUCCCCGCACCGGCCUGUGUCGCCGUCGCCGUCGCCUCGACCUCGCCUGCGCUGUGAGCCUCUGUCCCCCCUCUCCUCUCCCUCCAAUCGAAGCCGCCGCGCGCGCCGCCGGCGCCGUCGCCUUGGCUCGCCGUCGCCAUCGCCUGCACACACAACACAUACACACACACACCAUACACACACAUACACAAUUUUUGUUCUGUUUUUAGUUUUUAGUUUUUCUGUUUUUAGUUUUUAGUUUUUCUGUUAUUAGUUAUUAGUUUUUAGUUUUUUCAUUUUUUCUGUAUUAAUGUUAUAGAAAUGUUAGUUAUAUAGAAAUGUUAGUUAUAUAGAAAUGUUAGUUAUAUAUAGAAAUGUUAGUUUUUUCUGUAUUAAUGUUAUAGAAAUGUUUGUUAUAUAGAAAUGUUAAAGAAAAAUUAGUUAUACAAUUUUAGUUAUAGAAAUGUUAAUUUUAGAUAUGGUGGAUGUUUUUUUAGUUUAUUAUAUUUUUAGUUAUAAAAUUUAGAAUUUUCAUAUAAGAAAUCACAAUCCAAUCAUUUAAAAAAUGUUACUUUACUUUUGCGGCAUAUAGUAUUUGUUGUCGACGAUGCCCGGCCCGCAUCCUCGCCGUCGACCCGUUCGCGACGACGUCCUGCUUCAGAGGACCCAUGUCCGCGAUUGGGCUCCGCUGGGCUGGCACUGGGAGGUGCUACCUGGAGGGGCACGACGCUUGGUAAGGAACCCGGCCUCGGGUCCCGUCGUCGACCCUGAUCUCCUUUGGUGGCGUUCGCGUGGGCCACAUUCAGUGCAGAGGGAGCCGGCCCCGCCGGAGGUGGUGCGUCGUCGUGUUAGGGAGGAGGACGAGCACGUCCAUCGCUACAUGGCUGCUAUGGACGUCAGGUUCUCCAAUACCUGGCAAGUUCUUUGGGCAGAUGACCGGUGAUAUGAUCCUGUGAUGGUUCCUUGUCUUUGGGUGUCCACCGCCCGCGCCCCAGGAACCGCGAGUGGCCUAGAUUCUUCUAUAGUAUUCGAUCUUUAUUAGCUACCUAGCCAGUGAUGUAUUCGAGAUUAUAUAUUAUUCGAGACGAUGUAUUCGAGAUUAUAUAUUAUUCGAGACGAUGUAUUCGAGAUUAUAUAUUAUUCGAGACGAUGUAUUCGAGAUUCUAUAUUAUUCGAGACGAUGCAUAUUAUGUACUAUAUGAUUCAGUUUUUCCUUAUUGAUUGCAUCCAUGCAUUGUAAUUUGAAUACUAAAUUGUUUUAUAUUUCUUCGGUAUUAGUUAAAUAAAAGCUAUGGCGGACAAUACCGGCAGAGAGGGAGAAGAGGCCCUGUUCGAGAUCAUACGCAUCCCUAGCAGGCCAGAUGAUCUGAAUGAAGCAAAUGACAGCUCCCAAUAUCUGAACAAUACCGGGGAGGGUGAUGAUAAGAUAUUCGAUCUCGACGACCGAGCUGAUGAAGUCAUGAACUAUGAUUCUGAUUAUGAUGACGCAGACAAUGAUUAUGAUGACGAAUACAAUGUUGAUCUUGAAAUAACAAAGACUACCGGCGAGGUAUAUUUAUAUAAGCAGGCAUCUAGUGAUCAUCACAUGUUUUUUUAUUUGAAGAUAUAUUAACGAAUCGAUCUUUCUUCUUUCAGCCCUCCGGAUCGAGCAAAUCUGCUUCUACAGAUAGCAGGACAAAGCGCGGCCCGGGCAAAAAGUUGAAGGAGGGUGUAAAGUACAACAUCGAUUCCAUCAAAGCUAGUGGUGAACCCCUCACGCCUAAGAACAUUGCGAACAAUUUCGUUCGUCAGUGCGGAGUUCUUGUGAAGGACCAACUCCCGAUCUCCAUUCAAGAAUGGAAAGAGCCAAAAACUAAACGCCCAGAUGUUACUUGGGUCGACGACAGAGCAAAACAAAAGCUUUGGGAAUCUCUGAUGGAACAUUUCACCCUACCAGAUUAUUUCACUGAUGCAGAUGUGCAGAAAGUCAAGGACGCUGCUCUUAAGAAGAUGGCAAUUGCAUUCAACACCCACAAGAAAACUGUAUGGGCCAACUACCUCGCUGCAGAAAGGAAGACUCCAGAAUUCAAGGGAACACUGGAGAAGCAAAGAGAACACUGGCCCGCUUUCGUGAAAUUCAAGGAAUCAGAAUUAUCUAAGGAACGGUCGAGAAAAAACAAGGCCAAUGCUGCAAAAAAGACGCAGUUCCAUAGGCUGGGUCCAGGUGGCUACGCGGUGGCAAUGCCUAAGUGGGAUAAGUCUGAGCAAGAGAUGGAGGAUGCAGGGGUCACUCCGGUUACUAGGAGCUGGCCCCCCAGGUGCAAAACUUGGUUCUAUGCGCAUGGGGGGGCGUUGGACCCGAAGACAGACCUGGUUUCAAAGAAGGCAAGUCUAAAAGGAGCAGAACAAAAGUUACUUGACGUAAUAGAAGAUGCUCGAAAGGGGGUGUUCACACCCAACAGAGAGAACGACGAGCUUACGCGCGCCCUGGGAAAUCCUGAACACCCGGGAAGAACACGAGGCAAGGGCGUUAUUCCCUGGUAUGAGGGCUUUUCGGAAUGGAACAAUGACUACAGGACCCGUGCAAGAAAGAAGAUGGAGGAGGAGAAGAAGAGGAAGCUGGAGGAGGAACAGAGGAAGCAGGACGCGGAACGCCUUCAAGGCCUAGAAGCAAGGCACGCGGACUUGGCACUCAAAUUCCAGCAGCAGCAGCAGAUCGACUCACUUAGCCAGGAAAGGGGGUCUCAGCAGCGGCAGCAGCAAGCGGAUGAUCAUCCAGCAUUGGAUAGCACCGUCCCAUCCAUGCCGAGAAGCAGCGUUGGUUCUGCCCCGGGCGACGCACUGCUGGAUACAUACCCUGUGGAUGACAUCAUAGAGAACACUAACUGUGAGCUACACUUCAAAAUGAAGAACAUAUCCAUGAAGGUGGUGGACGCCGUUGCUUUUACAAUUACCCCCGAAGCAACCUUCCAUUGCGCCCCGAUUCCAGAGGGCUAUGCUCGUGUCUUGGUUGAUGAGGUGGUGGACCCAUAUUCGGGGCUAGAUCUUGACAUUCCUGGAGGUGACGACGAGCACACACUGGGAGAGGCCAUACAUCGUAUCAUCCUAUGGAGAAAGGAUUGCAUCAUCUUUCGAAGUCCACCGACACCGCGUCUGCCGACUCCUCCUUGAAGUCCGCCACCGUGUUAGCAGACUCCCGCCACUAGUAGAAAAAGGGGCUUUUACCCCGAUUGGUAAGGGCCUUUUGUCCCAGUUUUCAAACCGGGACUAAAGGGUCGUUACUAAAGCCCUUACCCUUUAGUCCCGGUUCUUAUACGAACCGGGACAGAAGGUCCUCCACGUGGCCGCUGCUGCCAGCCCGGGCAGGGGGGCCUUUGGUCCCGGUUGGUGCCACCAACCGGGACCAAUAGGCAGGGCCUUUUGUCCCGGUUGGUCUCACCAACCGGGACCAAUAGGCAUCCACGCGUCAGCAUUUCAAGGGCUGGGGUUUCUGUUUUUUUAAAGGGGGGGGGGUUGGGGGGUUUUGGGGGGGUUAAUUUAGGUGUUUCAUAUAUUGUGUUAGCUAGCUAAUUAAUAGAGAGAAGUGUCCUCUCUUAUCUCCGUGCUUGGUCGACGCUACGUACUAUAUACGCAUGGAGAGGACUAGACACGCUAGCUAGUAAGCAAAUGAAGGAAACAGAAGAUCGUCAUGAACAUAUGCAUACAGAGAGAAGUGAUAUCAAUAUACAAUAAUUAUCUCUUACAAUAUAAUCUCCUAAUUAAAUUGUAAGAACACAGGGUCCACAUAGUAUUCUCCGUUUUCAGCGAUCACGUGGUCAAGGAAGAAUGCCGCCAAUUCCUCUUGAAAUGCUCGCAUACGAUCUUCUGCUAGGAGUUCAUCCCGCAUCCGAAACAUCUAAUUUGAAGAAGGGGGUCAAUACAUAUAUAUAUGAAUAAAUGAAACUCGACACAAAUGAUGGUAAUAAAAUAAAAUUGUGAAUAUUAUUGCUUACGCACUUCAUAUUGUUCGUCAGAGUAGCCCCGCUCACAGGCCGUGUGGCAGAUAGACUCGCAAACGUAGUAUCCACAGAAAUCAUUCCCUUGUUCCUGCCACAACCACUUUACAAGAAAUAGAGGUCAAUCUAACUGAUAAGCAAGCAUGCUAAAUGGUAUUGAUGAAACUAGCGCUUGAAUCACUAGGAGAUGUGCGGAACAUGCUCCUAUAGUACUUACUUUUGGGUGUCUAAAUUGCAGCUUCUUCGGCAGUCCCGGAGCUUUUGUGGUGAAUUUUCUCCAAACCCUGCCAGACAAAGAAAACAAUUACUUGAUAUCAGGAAAUGGACAAAGUUGCUGAUAUGGUGGAUAAUGAUCGAUUUAACUUACUUCUCGAGCAUUUGAGUCAUGUCCGCAUAGUCCUGGGGAUCUUUUCGUCUCGAGUCUAAGAUGGUUACUACUCCCUUCUCAAGCUUAAUCUCUAGGAGAAUAUAGUGGAAGCUGCGCAUGCAUGCAUAAGUCAUCAAUUACAUUACCAUAACCUGGACUAAUAAGGGAAACCGAAUAUGCACAAGACAGUAACACUCACUUGAAUUUGUAAGGAAAGAGUAUUAUAUCUUUGUUUUGAUUUAAUACCAACGAUCGUAGCAAGUUGGCAUCGGCUUCUUUGGCAUGUUUUUCAACCGUAUAUGCAUCUAUGAGAUUUGUGUUAAUGAACCCAAUAUCACCGAUUUGUCUUUUCUUCAAUUCGGCGAUCUUCAAUCUGCAUAAUAUAGUGAGGAUAAUUAUAAAUACAUGCAAUGAAAGAGCUGACCUAUAUAGAGAGACUUAAUGACAGAAGUAAUACUACUUACAGACAGUAGCAAUUGAUCGUUGAUUUAUCGAGGGCCUUUUGAUUGAAAAACUAGAAGAGCUCCUCAAAUGGAACAUUCAGCAGUUCAAUUCCAACGAGGUCAUGCUCCGGUUUAACUCUCAGCGUCAAAGUAUUCAUCCCAUCAGACUCUCUGCAGGUUUUCAUGUACCAAUCAUGUAAUCUUCGCAUCAAAAAGAAGAAAAAAAAGAGGAGAAGAAGAAAGGAAUAGAGGAGAGAAGAAGAAUUUCUAUUUUUUCUUCUUCUCUUCUAUUCCUUUCUUCUUCUCCUCUUCUUUUUCUUCUUUUUUCCUUUUCUUAUUUAUUUCUCCUGUUCUUCCUCUCCUCUUAUUCUCCUUUCUUCCUCUUCUUAUUUUCCUUUUUCCUCUCAUUCAUAAAAAAAUGUUCAAAUAGAAAAUUUCGAAAAAAAGUAAAGGUUUUUCCUAAUGCAUUGUUCAUAUGAAUAUACAAACAUUUGCAUAUUCUACAAUAAUUAAUAUCACCAAAAAAAUCUAUGAACAGAAAAAAUCCUAACUUUUCUAAAAAUCUAUCUUUUGCAUGUAUACAUGAACAUAUAUAUAUACACAGAGAACAUAUAUACAUACAUAUAUACAUUUUUAUAAAAAUGCAAAAAAAGAUCUAAAAAAGGACAUAUAAACAGAUAUACACACAUACAUAUACUCAUACAUAUACAUAUAAUCAGGGAAAAAACAUCAUAUAUAUGUGCAGAAAAAAUCGGGAGGAAGGGGGCAGUGCCGGCCCUGACCAAGGCGACGGCGGCGCGUCGGGGCAGGGGCAGAGGCGACGGCGGCGUGGUCGGGGCAGGGGCAGAGGCAACGGCAGCGUGGUCGGGGCAGGGCGAGGCAAAGGCGACGGCGGCAUGGUCGGGGCAGCUGGGGCGACGACAACGUGGUCGGGGCGGGCCGCCGGCGGCGUGCUCGGGGAAGGGGCGGCUGCGCGUCGACGAGGCAACAGAGGGCGGCGACGGCGUCGACGGGGCNNNNNNNNNNNNNNNNNNNNNNNNNNNNNNNNNNNNNNNNNNNNNNNNNNNNNNNNNNNNNNNNNNNNNNNNNNNNNNNNNNNNNNNNNNNNNNNNNNNNNNNNNNNNNNNNNNNNNNNNNNNNNNNNNNNNNNNNNNNNNAUUGGUCCCGGUUGGUGCCACGAACCGGGACCGAAGGGUGGCAUUGGUCCCGGUUCGUGCCACCAACCGGGACCAAUGGCCUUGCACAGCGGCGUGGUGGUGGGAGUUUAGUCCCACCUCGCUAGCUGAGAGAGAGAGCCGCAGCUGUUUAUAAGGUGCGGUGCGCCUGAGCUAUCGAGCUCCUCUCUAAAGCAGGCUUACGGGCCUAACCUCUCUGUACAUGCCUGUGGGCCUACUGGGCCUUCUGCGGGCCUGAAUCAUGGCCCAUGGAUGGGUUUCUAGUCGUAUUCAGGCCGUGGUGGCCCAGUAGGUGGCAUAAUUUUUAUUUUUUGCCUAUUUUUUGUUUUUCUUUUUUGCUUUACUUAUUUUGUUUUGUUUCUACUUACAACAAAAAACUUAUUUAUUUUAUUUUAUUUUGUUUCUAAUUACUUAUUUAUUUUACUUUAUGGUAAUUUUUUUUGCUGUUAAAGUUUCUAACAAAAAAAGUUCUUUAUGAAAAUUAUUUUUGCUUUCAAUGAUUUUGAACAGAAAAUACUUUGAUAAUUUUAGUUUCAUAAAUUUUAUUUAUGUUAUUAAAGUUUAUUUUAUUUUGUUUCUACUUAUAUAUUUCAUUAAAUUUUAUAUUAUUUUAUUUCUAAUUACUUAUUUAUUUUAUUUGUUAUUUUUCAUGCACCAUUUUUCAUGCAUUUACUGAUUAUUUUGAGCUAUAAGACCCUAAAAUUGAAAAGCAUUUCAAAUGAACUCUGAAAAGGUUGAAAGUUGGCAUGGUAUCAUCAUUUCAUCCACAUAGCAUGUGCAAGAAAGUUGAGAGGGUUACGGCAAAAACUGGAUGCUCUUCGUGUACAAAACAGACAAUCUCUUUCGAAGUAUCAGGAUUUCAUACGGAAACUCGUCUGUUACAAAGGGAUUUCAUUUUUUUAAACUUAUUUGAAUUCCUGACUUUUUGUGUGUUCAAAUUGCACCAUUCAAAGCCACAUCAUCAAUUUUCAACCCUUUCUGACUUCAUUUGUUAUUUUUCAUGCAUUUACUAAUUAUUUUGAGCUAUAAGACCCUAAAAUUGAAAAGCAUUUCAAAUGAACUCUGAAAAGGUUGAAAGUUGGCAUGGUAUCAUCAUUCCAUCGACAUAGCAUGUGCAAGAAUGUUGAGAGGGUUACGGCAAAAACUAGAUGGACUUCGUGUACAAAACGGACAAUGGUAUCAUACUCGCCUGUUACAAAGUUGGCAUGGUAUCAUCAUAAUAGUUGCGGGAGAAAGUCUUCACUUUUUCUUCGCUUGUGUCAUUUGCUUAUUGCGCCGUAACCAUGGAUAAUCUUCAUCGUUUAUCAGGAUGCUUGGGUCAGCCUUGACUUUGAAGGGAGGAAUUUCAUGAAACUUUUCAUAAUCUUCAGACAUGUCUGUCUUGCCCUCCACUCCCACAAUGUCCCUUUUUCCUGAAAGAACUAUGUGGCGCUUUGGCUCAUCGUAUGAUGUAUUCGCUUUCUUAUCUUUUCUUUUUCUCGGUCUGGUAGACAUGUCCUUCACAUAGAUAACCGGUGCCACAUCAUUGGCUAGGACGAACGGUUCGUAAGUGUACCCAAGAUUGUUCAGAUCCACUGUUGUCAUUCCGUACUGUGGGUCUACCUGUACCCCACCUCCUGACAGAUUGACCCAUUUGCACUUAAACAAAGGGACCUUAAAAUCAUGUCCGUAGUCAAGUUCCUAUAUGUCCAUUAUGUAACCAUAAUAUGUGUCCUUUCCCCUCUCGGUUGCUGCAUCAAAGCGGACACCGCUGUUUUGGUUGGUGCUCUUUUGAUCUUGGGUGAUCGUGUAAAAUGUAUUCCCAUUUAUGUCGUAUCCUUUGUAAGUCAAUACAGUCGAAGAUGGUCCCCUGGACAACGAGUACAACUCAUCACAAACAGUGGUGUCACCUCUGAGACGUGUUUCCAACCAACUGCCGAAAGUCCUGAUGUGUUCACAUGUAAUCCAGUCAUCACACUGCUCUGGGUGUUUGGAGCGCAGAAUGUUCUUGUGUUCAUCGACAUACGGGGUCACCAAGGUAGAGUUCUGUAGAACUAUGUAGUGUGCUUGAGACCAAGAAUAUCCGUCCCUGCAUAUUAUUGAGUCCCCUCCAAGCGUGCCUUUUCCAGUCAGUCUCCCCUCAUACCGCGAUUUAGGGAGACCUAUCUUCUUAAGGCCAGGAAUGAAGUCAACACAAAACCCAAUGACAUCCUCUGUUUGAUGGCCCAUGGAGAUGCUUCCUUCUGGCCUAGCGCGGUUAUGGACAUAUUUCUUUAGGACUCCCAUGAACCUCUCAAAGGGGAACAUAUUGUGUAGAAAUACGGGCCCCAGAAUGACAAUCUCGUCGACUAGAUGAACUAGGACGUGCGUCAUGAUAUUGAAGAAGGAUGGUGGGAACACCAGCUCGAAACUGACAAGACAUUGCGCCACAUCACUCCUUAGCCCUUGUAUGAUUUCUGGAUCGAUCACCUUCUAACAGAUUGCAUUGAGGAAUGCACAUAGCUUCACAAUGGCUAAUCGGACGUUUUCCGGUAGAAGCCCCCUCAAUGCAACCAGAAGCAAUUGCGUCAUAAUCACGUGGCAGUCAUGAGACUUUAGGUUCUGGAACUUUUUCUCUGGCAUAUUUAUUAUUCCCUUUAUAUUCGACGAGAAGCCAGUCGGGACCUUCAUACUGAGCAGGCAUUCAAAGAAGAUUUCUUUCUCUUCUUUCGUAAGAGCAUAGCUGGCAGGACCUUCAUACUGCUUCGGAGGCAUGCCGUCUUUUUCGUGCAAAUGUUGCAGGUCCUCCCGUGCCUUAGGUGUAUCUUUUGUCUUCCCAUACACGCCCAAGAAGCCUAGCAGGUUCACGCAAAGGUCAUUCAUCACGUGCAUCAUGUCGAUUGAAGAGCGGACCUCUAGCUCUUUCCAGUAGGGUAGGUCCCAAAAUAUAGAUUUCUUCUUCCACAUGGGUGCGUGUCCCUCAGCGUCAUUCGGAACAGCUAGUCCGCCGGGACCCUUUCCAAAGAUUACGUGUAAAUCAUUGACCAUAGCAAGUACGUGAUCACCGGUACGCAUGGCGGGCUUCUUUCGGUGAUCUGCCUCGCCUUUGAAAUGCUUGCCUUUCUUUUGACAUUGAUGGUUGGUCGGAAGAAAUCGACGAUGGCCUAGGUACACAUUCUUCCUGCAUUUGUCCAGGUAUAUACUUUCAGUGUCAUCUAAACAAUGCGUGCAUGCGUGGUAUCCCUUGUUUGUCUGUCCUGAAAGGUUACUGAGAGCGGGCCAAUCGUUGAUGGUUACAAACAGCAAUGCGUGCAGGUUAAAUUCCUCCUGUUUGUGCUCAUCCCACGUACAUACACCGUUUCCAUUCCAUAGCUGUAAAAGUUCUUCAACUAAUGGCCUUAGGUACACAUCAAUGUCGUUGCCGGGUUGCUUAGGGCCUUGGAUGAGAACUGGCAUCAUAAUGAACUUCCGCUUCAUGCACAUCCAAGGAGGAAGGUUAUCCAUACAUAGAGUCACGGGCCAGGUGCUGUGAUUGCUGCUCUGCUCCCCGAAAGGAUUAAUGCCAUCCGCGCUUAAACCAAACCAUACGUUCCCUGGGUCAGCUGCAAACUCAGCCCAGUACUUUCUCUCGAUUUUUCUCCACUACGACCCGUCAGCGGGUGCUCUCAACUUCCGGUCUUUCUUACGGUCCUCACUGUGCCAUCGCAUCAACUUGGCAUGCUCUUCGUUUCUGAACAGACGUUUCAACCGUGGUAUUAUAGGAGCAUACCACAUCACCUUCGCAGGAACCCUCUUCCUGGGGGGCUCGCCGUCAACAUCACCAGGGUCAUCUUGUCUGAUCUUAUACCGCAAUGCACCGCAUGCCGGGCAUGCAUUCAGAUCCUUGUACGCACCGCGGUAGAGGAUGCAGUCAUUAGGGCAUGCAUGUAUCUUCUGCACCUCCAAUCCUAGAGGGCAUACGACCUUCUUUCCUGCGUAUGUACUGUCGGGCAAUUCGUUAUCCUUUGGAAGCUUCUUCUUCAAUAUUUUCAAUAGCUUCUCAAAUCCUUUGUCAGGCACAGCAUUCUCUGCCUUCCACUGCAGCAAUUCCAGUAUGGUACCGAGCUUUGUGUUGCCAUCUUCGCAAUUGGGGUACAACCCUUUUUUGUGAUCCUCUAACAUGCGAUCGAACUUCAGCUUCUCCUUUUGACUUUCGCAUUGCAUCCUUGCAUCGACAAUGACCCGGCGGAGAUCAUCAUCAUCGGGCACUGGUUCCUCUUGAUCUUCAGCAGCUUCCCCCCUUGCAGCAUCAUUGGGCACAUCGUCUGAUUCCUCUUGAUCUUCAGCAGCUUCCCCCGUUGCAGCAUCACCGUAUUCAGGGGGCACAUAGUUUUCAUCGUCCUCUUCUUCUUCGCCGUCUUCCAUCAUAACCCCUAUUUCUCCGUGCCUCGUCCAAACAUUAUAGUGUGGCAUGAAACCCUUGUAAAGCAGGUGGGUGUGAAGGAUUUUCCGGUCAGAGUAAGACUUCGUAUUCCCACAUGUAGGGCAUGGACAACACAUAAAACCAUUCUGCUUGUUUGCCUCAGCCACUCCGAGAAAAUCAUGCACGCCCUUAAUGUACUCGGAGGUGUGUCUGUCACCGUACGUCCAUUGCCGGUUCAUCUGCGUGCAUUAUAUAUAAUUAAGUGUGUCAAAAACCAUUACAGAACAUCAUGAAUAGAUAAUUAAGUGACCAAAUUAAUAGAAGCUCAUCAUCACAAUAAACCAACGUACAUACAUAGUUCUCAUCUAACAACAUAUAUAUAGCUCUCCAGAGCAUCUAAUUAAUUAAACCAUACAUUGAAACUAUGUAAAACAUUUCAAUGCGAAAACAAAUGCGAUCAUAAUCGCAACCAAGGUAACAAUUGAUCCAAUGACAUAAUGAUACUAACCCUCGGUAUGAAUGGCAUAUUUUCUAAUCUUUCUAAUCUUCAAGCGCAUUGCAUCCAUCUUGAUCUUGUGAUCAUCGACGACAUCCGCAACAUGCAACUCCAAUAUCAUCUUCUCCUCCUCAAUUUUUUUAUUUUUUCCUUCAAGUAAUUGUUUUCUUCUUCAACUAAAUUUAACCUCUCGACAAUAGGGUCAGUUGGAAUUUCCGGUUCAACCACCUCCUAGAUAAAUAAAAUCUAUGUCACGUUGGUCGGCAUAUUUGUCAUAAACAAUAAAUGAACCAAAUAGUUAUAAAAAGAUAAUAUAUACCACAUCCGAAUCAUAGACAGGACGAGGGCCGACGGGGGCGGAUACCAAAACCAUCGCACUAUGUAAUAAGAAGGAAUAAUAAAAGUAAAAUUAGACAAGUAUCUAUCUAAAGUAAGAAUUUUUUUCUUUCAGAAAGAAGAUAAGAACAAGAGGCUCACCACGGUGAUGCUGCCGACGAGAACGGCGCGGGCGAUCGACAACGGUGAAGACGGGGACGGGACGUGACGAACCGCUAAACCUAGACAAAUCUCGGGGAAAAUGGAGCUCGGAGGUCGAGUUUCGAGAGAGAAAGAUUAACUAGUGUGGCUCAGACAUUUCAUCGAACACCUCAUGUCCAUAGGAGGUGAGCUAGAGCACCCACAUGCCCUCCCCUCGCCGGCCAGAAAAAACAGAGCACUGUGGAGUGCUCUGCUGUGGCGAUGGGGUAUAUAUAGGCAACUCAUUUGUCCCGGUUCGUGGCACCAACCGGGACCAAUGCCCCCCUUUAGUCCCGGUUGGUGGCACCAACCGGGACCAAAGGCCUUGUGCUGCCCCGCGUCAAAAGUUUAGUCCCACCUCGCUAGUUGAGAGAGCUCGAGAGUGGUUUAUAAGCGCUGCUGCGCCCACCCACUCGAGCUCCUCUCAACUGCAGACUUUCGGGCCUAACCGUUCUCUUUGCCUGUGGGGCUUACUGGGCCUUCUGCGGGCCUGAAUCCUGCCCCAUGGAUGGGUUUCAAGUCGUAUUCAUGCCGUGGUGGCCCAGUAGGUGGCAUAAUUUUUCCCUGUUUUUUGUUUUCUCUUUUGCUUUAUUUAUUUUGUUUUGUUUCUACUUACAACAAAAAACUUAUUUAUUUUAUUCCAUUUUGUUUCUAAUUAGUUAUGUAUUUUACUUUAUUUAUUUUAUUUUUAUUUAUUUUACUGCUGCUAUUUUUAUUUAUUUUACUGCUGCUAUUUUUAUUUAUUUUAUUGAGGUUUAUUUAUUUUAUUUACUAUAGUUUAUUUUAUUUUAUUUUAUUAAGGUUUAUUUAUUUAUUAUUAUUUUAUUAAGGUUUAUUUAUUUUAUUUACUAUAAAAAAUGAACAUAGAUGCGCCUAUAGAGAAAAUUCAACCUAAAUUCAUAAUAAAUUUCUAUGAAAUUCAAAGAAAUUUACUCUGAAUUUAUGUCAAAUUCCCUGUAUAAGGGCAUCUAUUUUCACUUUGAGAGGAGCUCAACAAGGCAGAGAGGGACGGACUUAUAAACCGGUGUGAGCGCCCUUCGGUUGGCGAGGUGGGACUAAACUCUGACCGCUACUAGGACCAACCCUUUAGUCCCGGUUUGUGGUAUGAACCGGGACUAAAGGGUGAGCCUCUGGUCCCGGUUCAAGCAACCAACCGGGACCAAUGGUGGUGGGCCAGGAGCGAGGCCCAUUGGUCCCGGUUUGUCCCACCAACCGGGACCAAAGGGGCCGGACGAACCGGGACCAAUGCCCCCACGAGGCCCGGCAGGCCCCUGGCCGCACGAACCGGGACCAAUGCUCACAUUAGUCCCGGUUCGUGACUGAACCGGGACUAAUGUGAAUAUUGCCCUGUGACCAAAGCCCAGUUUUCUACUAGUGCGCUCCUCCAAGUCCACGAACGCGUGAGCAGACUCCUGCUUCAAGUCUGGCACAGCGUCAGGCCACUCCUCCUGUUUCAAGUCUGACUCCGCGUCAGGCCACACCUCCUGCUUCAAGUCCGGCACAGCGUCAGGCCACACCUCCUGCUUCAAGUCCGACACCAUAUCAGGCCACACCUCCUGCUUCAAGUCCGGCACAGCGUCAGGCCACUCCUCCUGCUCCAACUAAGCCACGUCAGCCGUCUCCGCCGCCUAAGCAAUCGCAGAAGAGACACGCCGCAACUAUGGUGCGUAGCGGUACGAGUCGAGGUAGUACAGAAAGUACAGGCGGAGACAAGCGAUAUAAAUAUGGUCCAAGCAGCCUCGCUCCUCUUCCUCAGAGGCCUUACGACAUGACCGAGGAGCAAAACGAUGCAAUAGUGCGGGCCGAAGUGGACGCUCAUUUUCGACCGAAACCGGCAACGCCGCCGAGGGAGAAAGUGCCUGAGGAAAAGAUUGACCACUUCAUUCGUAUGGCUAGACCACCAGCUCCCAAGCCUGUUGACUCGGACUAUGAGCGCCAAAUCAGGAAGGCACAUCGAGCACGACUACAGAAAGAAGCAAGCUCGAGCUCGAGCCAACAAGCAGCUGUCAAAACAUGCGGGAAAACCGUUCCCCAGCUGGGAGAACAGGCGGCGCAAUCGACCCCCCGCUUGUUGUGCCAACAACACAUGAGAGUACGCGCCCAAUAUUAUUGUGGGCAAACCGUUUACGUUCCCGAGCUGGGCGAUGUGGUAAUAACCGAGGAGCAUAUAAUGCAGGCUGAAAUGCUCAAGAUCACUGUUGAACAACUCCUCGAGAUCGAGCCCAUGUCUCCGCUUAGAGAGGAGGAAAUAAAACAGAAAUAUGUCCGGGGCCAACCUUUGGUCGAGCCAGACGAGGUCAAGAACCUACCAACGAGAAUGUAUGAAUUGCAUCAGUGGUACAUGAACAUUACCAAGAUUUCCAAUCGUGGGUCCCUCAUGGUGAAUGUCAAAGAGGAGCAUUACUUCCAUGAGAAAGUUGUGUCCGUUGAGUAUUCAGAACUAUUUCAGUUAUUAAAUCAAGAUGCACUCGACAAAUCUAUCGUCAGUUGCUAUUGUCUGUAAGUGAUUUCUUUCUGUAAUUUAAGUCUCAAGCUAGCUCUAGUGCUCAUUGAUUGAUCAUUAAUUACCUGUAAUUAUAUAUCCUCACUAUAUAUUCUUUUCUGUGGUAUUAUGCAGGAUGAAGAUGUAUGAAAUGAAAAAAGCUGGACGCUAUGGCAUUGGGUUCAUUGACCCAAAUACCGUUAAUGAAUACACAUGGAAAUUGGAAUGGUGUAGACAAGAUGUAGAGAAAUGCAUGCUAGAGUUCUUGAAGCGCCUCAAUAGCAAUGGAGAUAUACUACUUCCUUACAACUUCGAGUGAGUCACACUGUCUUGUACUACAAAUUCUGUUUUUGCUUACUAGCUAGAUGUUAAUAAGUGUAUAGGGUUUAGGGUUAUAGUUGAUUGGUGUUAUGCACAUGCCCGCUUAAUUUAUACAUGCAAACGUAUGCACAUGCAGCUUCCACUGGAUCUUGUUAGACAUUAAAGUUGACGAAGGAAAAUUUGAAGUACUGGAUUCACUACUUAAAAAAGAUAGUGACUACAGCAUCGUGAAGGGGAUAGUUGACAGGUUCUUUCAAUCAUUAUUAACUAUAUCUUGGCCUAUUUAGUUCGUCAUUUCCUGAUAUGAACUAUUUUUAAUAACCCCUUUAUUAAUUUUCUUUGCCGGCGGGCAGGGCUUGGGCAAAGUACAUCAAGGUGACUCCAGGAAAAUGGCGACAAAAGCUAUGUUGGUAUCGACCCAAGGUAAGUAAUUAAGUAGUACUAGCUAGGUAGCUACCAUCUCUUUAAUUCUUGAUUCAAUAUCAUUAAUUAAUUAACAUGCUUGAUUAAUAAUUAUCUGAUUAAAUUCUAUUCUCGUAAAGGCCCUGAAGCAGGCGCCGGGGACUGAGUGUGUGCAUACUACGUUUGUGAGAACAUUCGCAUGAUGGCGUCCGAAAGGAGCAGAUCUGAUAGACAGGACUGGGUACGUUUGCCAGAACACUAUUCACAAAUCUUACAUGAUUGUCGAUAUCUAGUCACACAACUAAUACACAUGCAUAUUGAUCUCCUUCUUAACAGUUCAAAGAGGUGCGGGACCAGCUCCUAUCAACAGAGCGCAUACGAGCACUUCAAGAGGAAAUAGCGGGAUUUUUGCUCGACCAGGUCAUAGAUCCCAAAGGAGAAUACUAUUACCCGCUACCGCCCCCAUGAACCACUUGUCAUCGUGCUCCGAAGGCACCAAGGCAACAUGUAGAUAAAAUUGUAUAUAUAUACAUGUGUAUGUGUGAAUAAUUAAUGAUGGUUGUGAGACAUUCGAUUACAUAUAUAUAUGAUCGGUUCUACGAGAAAAUCUAUUUAUAUAUAUGCAUAACGUGUACAAUAUGUAGUAUCGUAAAAUACCAGCAAACAAAAAAGAAUUAAAUGGAAAACACAAAAUUAAUGAAAAAAUUAAAAUUAAAACCAAAACCCCCAAACAUAUAGUACCGGUUGGUGCUACCAACCGGUACUAAUGGUCUAUCAGCACCUGGGCCUGGCUCGUGCCAUGUGGUGGCACUUUAGCGCCGGUUCGUGCCGAACCAGUAGUAAAGGGGGCACCUUUAGUUUAGUGCCGGUUGCAAAACCGGCACUAAAGGCCCUUACGAACCGGUGCUAAAGCCCGGUUCUACACUAGUGUAAGGGUGUGAUCGAUUAGGGAUGCAUGCACGCCUUUCAUAUAAUGUAGUAUCCAAUAUGCAUGUGUCUGCAUGAGUCCGUUGCUUUAUGUAGAGUGAAUAAACUGGUUAUGUAAUAAGUCAUGGUUCCAAGACCUAAUAUUAUUGUGAUGACCAUAAUUUGUUUGCCCAAUUAUUUAUCGCGAGAUGUUGCAACGGUUCAUCCUAACCAUAGGAACAAGAAAUUCCACAUGAUAUACUCUGUCGGGGUCUUGCAGGUAGGUGUACGAUGGGUUGUAAAAUAUCAUAGGGCUUACUGGAAAAUAGAAGAACAAAACAACUCAAUCCUAAUGUGGUAAUAGUCCUUAUGAUAUCUGACAUUAACAGCCACUAAAAUAAGAAAGGAGCGUAACACACUGACUGAGGCACUUUAAUAGGAUGCGGAGCACGAAAGUAGGUCCGAAGCAAGAGUUAUGGAUUUCCGUGGUUGUUGUCUUUUCCCCUUCAACCAUUCACAAUCAGAGUUUAAAUUGGAUCGCCACGCACACGUACCGGAAAUAAAUGCAUCAAGUCCAGGAGGAAGAACACAACACCGAGCAGCAACAGGAACAGCGGCGUCGCGCGGCGAUCACCCAUGCCGCCACCGAGCUCUCCCCGUUUUUCGUCAUGCUGUCGAACGUCGCCCACAUAGACAUGCUACCCUGCGACCGCGGUAACCGCUCCCAGCGCCAAGGCAAGAUGAUCGUUGGGGGAGACAACGAUCCCUUGCUUCAUGGUCCGCGUGUCGUCAUCAGCCGUCUCACCGCCAUUGCAGAUCAUCGCCGUGAGAGACGGCGGUCCCUUGCUGCUUGCUUCGUGCGUCAUCAUCGGCCGUCUCACCGCCGCCGCAGAUCAUCGUGAUGGGAGCCGGCGAGCGGCGAUCCCUUGCUGCUUGCUCUGCAUGUCGUCAUCAGCCGUCCCACAGCCGCUGAUGCGAAUCAUCGCCGCGAGAGUCGGCGAUCCAUUACUACUUGCUUCAUGCGUUGUCGUUGGCUGUCUCACCAGUGCCGCCUAUCAUCGCCACCGGAGCAGAUGAUCCCUUGCUGCUUGCUCCGCAUGUUGUUGGCCACCGUCUCGCCGCUGCCACGACUUCCCUGGUCUCGCCGCAUGUACGCGAUGUCAGGGUCAUGUACGUCGCCCACUGCCUGACCGAGCUGGCCUCCCAUGUUGUGCAAGGUAGUCCUUUAUUAACCAUGCAAGUAGCACUUUGCUCCUUUCAGACCUUAUACUCAACAGUAUAUGAUACAGAAACUACACACAAAUUUUGCUACCUGUGUUUUACAUCUUGCAGAUUAUGCUCAUUCUUCUUUCAACCGGUUAUGCGAUGCUCCGAAGAGGGUGAUUCUUCACCAAUCCUAAAGAAUACGACAGUUCAUGUACGAUGAUACAAUUGGGUAAUUUUGCACACUUCACUUUAACGAUGGGUGCACACCUACUAUUCAUGUAUCAUGAUGAUGCAGAGGUCGGAUUACCUUUUGUUUAAAAAAAACACCUAUGAUCCGUGCAAAUGUAUGUGAGAAAUCAUAUCGUACAUGUUGAAUUGAUAAAAUUCUAAUCUCCAACAAAAAAUUCUUGCGCGGACCAUAUCCACAUCCCCCUUAAUAAUCAUCACCCUAUUGUAAAUGAGAAACAUUCUCAUACUUCUAGGUGUUUUGAGUCAUACAAAACUACAAAUAUAUCAUCCGUACUUUUUAUGUAAACCUCUAUUGUGAUGCAUAUGUUGGCCUCUUGACCUUAUGUUAAUGUAGAUCUCAGUAUUGUAGAAUGUGCAAGUCACCUGUAGAGAUUUGGCACAUAAGUUUGGAUCCUAGCCUUCCUCAGAAUAUUUAUGAAAAAAAUUCUCAGGAACGCGGGGGGCAUUAUCUAAUUUCAUAUAAGCUCAAGGAUACAAGUGUUUGGGUGUACAAAUGAGGUGGUCAGGGUGUCAUAGGAGGUGGUCGGGGAACUAGCUAGAGUGCCUAAACACCUUUCUCUCUUCUCUCCUCUACCAGUGCUCCUAUGAGGGAGUGGGGUUGCUAGAGUAUGCAAAAGUUGUCCUCUAUUCAACCGCGGCCCUCCCCUUAUAUAGAUCCGGGUUGCUUGAAGUUUGAGUAUUUUGGCUCUAGCCUUCUUGUGUUUCUCUUUUGGCAUUGGCCCAACUAUAGGGAGAAGUAAUAAAUUAUACUACAUGGAAGGUGAGGCUUUGUUGAGCCUGUAGUAGUAAAUGGAAAAAUAGAAGGAUGAGAAGACCAAACAUGAUAUAAAGAUUGCUAUUAUGAGCGGAUACUUACUGUGACAAAUUUCAACGUAGCCCCAUAUAUAUCUCGCCUCUAUCAGCAGCAACGGCAACACCUUGAAGAAUGAAGCAUAGGAGGAGAACAUAGGCUUGACACAUCUGAAUCAAUGUAGAUAACUGAAAUUACUUGUGUUACGGAUUCCUGAGAAUCACUAUGGCUGUGGAUUUUUGAGAAUCAGUUGUGGCUCUGUAUUCCCGAGAAUCAGAAUCUGGCUAUUUGUUACCUUAUUGUUGGUCAGAUGUAGGAGAUGUGGGUUUUGUGACAUGUUAGUAACGCUCCUGAGUGUUGACUAUGAUAUUUGUAUGCAGAUUAAAGCACAAGUUGUCUAAUUUGACUAGAUAAAAUGAGAGUUAGCGGAAAAAACAACCAUUUUUUAGAGAUAAUAUAUGCGGAAAACGUUGAUGUGAAACUUAUAACCAAAUAAACCGUCAGGGGGCACCAACUAAAACUAGUAGUACUGCCUCUGUACCAAGAUAUAAGACGAUUGUGGUAUGGAGGGAGUAUUCAUUACGGCAUGGCAAGGCUAUAUGUUCUAUUCACGGUCUAUUCUCCUCUCUGCUUCUACGGGUAAAUGCCCUCCUGAGGGUCUUUUUGGACUCUCAGGAGGGCAAAUGCCCCCCCCCCUCUCCCGGUUCCAUUUCAUUGAAACAAAACAGAGUACAUACAAGCACACUAAGAGAAACUCCACCAUGCAUGUCCAAAACUAUAAAAAAAAGGAAAAUGAUCCUUGAGCAGUCCGUUGUUAAUUGUCGAGAAGCCUUUUGGGUGGCAGGCUUCCAGCCAAGAUCGGUAUCUCCGUGGUAAAGGCAAUCCAUGCCGGCACCCUCGAGCUGAGACUAGGUCGUGUCAUGCUUAGGGAUAGGCUGGAUCUCACCAGGUGAUUGCAGAAAGUAAAUCAUUUAAUCUGUUUGAGUCUCUCCUCGAUGAUCAAAGCAAUUCCAUUUUCCACGCAAAAAAGCUCGAUUUUUCCAACCAAUGCUUUGGAUCCUUUCAGCUCUUAUAUCCGCAACUAUUGCACGAUGCAUCGAGGCUGAGCGACGAAGUUGUUGCCCUCUCAACGGGUAAAAAUCCGCAACAUGUUAUUUGCCUCGAUCUCCAAUUGCAUGCCCUGAUUUGAUAUGUCGCUUGCAGAAUGGCGGCAAUAGUAAAAGAGCAUAUAGCAGCAGGACAAGUCACCACGGCGAAAAUGACGUGGAUGAAUCUAAUUGAUUUGAUUGAGCGAUGGCGUGGUAACUGAAUAGUAAUUAGUAACAUCGAGUUUGUUUUGUUUGAGUCUAGAGUUUCCCCAUCAAAUGUUUGGCUUGCCAAAAUAUUGGUCAAGGCUUUGUGUGCCUAUGAGUUUGCCAACUUUGACUAAAAAUGAAGUAAAGCUGGUAAGGAGCCAUCGGCAUGCCAAACAGUUGUAACCAACCAAAUGAAAAUCAAAGUUGUGGUCAUAGCCAAAAAUUUGCUAAGAUACAUAUUGAGUACAAAGGAUACCAAAUACUUGUACAUAAGGUUCUCAUUCCACCGUUUAUUGCCCGUGAAUAGAAGAUCAGACACUUCACAAAUGUUAGUUUCCCUUUGCCUUCCCAAAGGGUGCCUACAACUAUUCCAAGGUAACAAAUCAUCUUGCUAGAUACCGACCUUUUCUCCAUUGACGAUUCUUCAGAUGAUUCCCUGUUUGAGCAACUUCCUUUCAUGUAAAAUACACGCCAUGUCAGGAACCACGACGAGCGGAACUAAAAGCAAUCAGCAAAUUAGUGUGCCUAAGAUAGCAGUCUCUUAAAACUUCCACAUAGUGACUCGGGACAAUUUAGGAUCUGCCAACCUCGCCGAGCCAAAAAUAUUUACUUGAAAGCCUCCAUAUCCCUGAAGCCAACACCUGUCGGAGUAAUUAGCCACGGGUAGCCUCAUCAGCUCCCCAUGGCGUAUCAAGACAUCGGGGCCGACUACGCCCCUCAGGAAUCAAAGACCAAAGCGCCGCCUUCUCGCCGCCGGCUGGUCCAAGCGGCCGGCUGCCAGAAGAGGGCAAGGCCCAGAAGACGGCCUCAAAGUGGACCGACUCCUCGCAGGCAGCCUCUAGAGAGGCCGGCUCCUAGCAGACGGCCCCAAGCGUCCUCAGAGUCUGCAUCCACAUAAAUGCAAUGAGACAGGGCGUGGCUAAAGCACGCCUCGCCACCCCCAAAUCUAGGGCCAAGCGUGGCCACAGUGCAUCAUACCAGACGGAGAUCUCCCGUCCGGCGCGGCACUGUUGUCAUGUUGCCCAUGACAUCACCCCUGUCAGAGGGAGCCAUGCUCCCACGACGGGCUGUCGGUACGGCCCGCAGGAUGCGGGCCCCACCUGACGGCGAGAAGCUAGAGAGCGGCCAUCCCUGGCCAGUCGGUUCAAGGAAGGUCGGCUGAUGACCAGGCGGCCCUCCCCCUCCUGGGGAUUUGUGCGCCAUUAAUCAGAAGAGAUGGGGAGUGGCUACAGUGAACGCCCGCCAGGCGGCGGUACUGUAGCCACGCCUCCCCAGAGCAUGCAUCAUUAGUAGCACGGCUACAGUGCUGAGCAGCCGGCAAGACCCGCGGGCGGCGGAUGCGGCAUGUCGGCCAGGUACGAGACAGCGAGCUGGGACCACCAGGCGGCGGGCCCCACCGCUCGGCGGAGAAGCCGGCGACCAUAGACACUGACGGCCGGGUCCUACGCCCGGCCAGAUUACCUUUGUACCCCUGGGGGGUAGGCCUAUAUAAACCCCCCAGGACACCCAUGCAAAGUGUUCAGACGUUUGUUCUCACACACACCCAUAUAGAGAGAGGAAGCUAGGGCUAGCCUUGUUCUUCUUCCCCCUCUAGAGAAACAGCUCAAGGAGCAAGCUUGUAGCCACCAUUGUUGCUUGAGUGAUCAUGCGGAGACCCCGCGGAGCAUGACUAGGGGUGUUAUCUCCUAGGAGAGCCCCGAACCUGGGUAAAGUGCGCCGGCGUUCGUGUCUACGCCAUAUCCAGUUUCCAGGCACCGGCGACGUCUUACUAGCUCCCACCAUGAUAAGCCAUCCUUUGGCAUAUGUCGCACCAAACCCCCAACAUUUGGCGCCCACCGUGGGGCUAGGUGCACCGUCGCCCGGAGAUCUGUUCUGGACGGGAACCUUGUUCCUUCCUAGCGAGCGCAGCCAGCCGGGCACGCCUGAUGGCGUUAGCGCCGACGCGCUGCAUGGCGUGGAGCUUGCCUGCGCGGCGGCUGGCCUCGCUGACCUUGUUGGCGAGAUCCGCCUCUCCGAUGAGCCCGCGCUAGGCGCGGGUGCAACCAGCUCCGAGAGUUGUCUCAUCGAUCUCCUUGGCAAGCUUGACAUCAACAACGAGCUCGCCUCCGACCUGGAGUCGAUUGACUCCACCGACCCGAUGCUUGUCGACUCCGACACGGCAUCCCUCGACGCCUUCCCCACCAACGUGGUGGUCAUCGACGACCCACUCCCUCGAGCAGAUAGUGGCGGCAGCACUGUCACGUAGGUGCUCGUCAUCAGCCAUGGCGGAGACGCCAACGAAGCCGCGCAUGAUCCGCUGCAGGCGACGCUGUGAGACCUAUCCGCACCCAUCGCGGAAGACGCCAACGCCGAGACGCUGGAGGCCUGCCGCGUCUCCUCGUCAAAAGAGCCAAGAAGUUGGCUUCCAUGAAGCGCCUCUUCGAGGUAUACCAGCGCGAGCUUGACCGCGCCAUCUGUGGCAUGCCGGCUGCUGGCGGGCCUAGCCGCGUGGGCACUAUCGGCCAGCGUGAUGCAGCCAUUGCCAGUAUGCUGGGUGCUGACCGCCCAGUCUACGCCACGCCCAUGGAGAACAUACGCGCUGCCCAGGCGGCAGCAGACGAGUUGGACAACUUGGAGGACGACGAGCGCCGUUGCAUGACCGAGCGUGUUCAGCGGCUCAUCGACGCGGCUGCAGAACUGCAAGAAGCCGGCUGCCGCGUGGCAGAGCCCGGUGCUCACGCCGAGAAUCCUCCUCCCCGCCGAGAGCAAGGCGCGACCUCCCGGACGCCGACUGGCGGUGUCCGCGACCGAAGAGACAAAGAGCCGGCUGCCAGCCGCACGCGUCUCACCAUCGAGCGCGACCAAUACGGCCGCCGAAGAGCAGUGGAACAGCGGGGCGACUAUCCGCCUCCUCCUCCUCCUCCUCGCAGGGAGAGGCGCACCUCCCCGCCGCCUGUUGACCACCCGACACUCGGCGACCGGCUUGGCCGCCGAGAAGGAGUCGAAGAGAACGACGCGCGCCAUCGAAUCGACCGCCUUGCUCGAUCCCAGGCACUAGAAGAAGAAGACGCAGUGGGCCCGCCUUGUUUGGGCCCCCGCAUUCGCAACGAGCCCUUCCCCAAAGGGUUCUCGCUCCCAAGAGACACGCCCAAGUAUAACGGCUCCGUGAAGCCAGACGACUGGCUGGUCGACUACUCCACCGCAGUCAGCAUAGCAAACGGCAACAAGCGUUUUGCCAUGAAGUACGUUCCGCUCAUGCUCCAGGGCACGGCCCGGACAUGGCUUAACAGCCUGAAGCCCCACAGCAUCAACAGCUAGGUAGAUUUCAUCGAAGUCUUCAUCUACAACUUCACCAACACCUACAAGUGGCCACCCAAGCCUCGCUAGCUCUCUCUGUGCGUCCAAGGCCCUACCGAAUCCACUCGCGACUACCUGACGUGGUGGGCCAAACUGCGCAACUCCUGUGAGGGGGUGCACGAGGUGCAAGCCAUAGAAUACUUCACCGUUGGGUGCAGAGAAGGCACCCUCCUCAAGCACCGACACCUCUGCGACGAGCCGGCUACACUCGACGAGCUGCUGAUCAUAGCAGACAAGUACGCCACUACCGACUCCUCCAUGAAGUCGGAGCUCCGAGUGGACGCCUCUGGGAAGGUGCUCCCUCCGGCUCCUAGAACACCGGCUGGCGACACCAAUGGGCUCCAGCAGCAGAACGACAAUAAGCGCAAAACCCCGAUGCCGGCUUCCACCAGCCGGCAGGUGGCGACAGUUGAAGACCAGCAGCCGGAGGGCCAACCCUUGCCCAAGCGUCAGAGAGGCGGCAAGCCGAAUUGGUUGCCCGCCUUCUCCUAUGAGCAAACCCUUGAUGCUCCCUGCAAGUUCCACAGCGGCGCAAAGCCAUCCAACCACACCACUCGGAAGUGCCACUGGCUCACUCGAAUCUCCAAGGGCAAAGGUCUGCUACCUCCACCGCCUGCUGGCCAGCUGCCCCCGCCUCAUCAAUAGCCGACGGCCCGGCCGUCAGUCGGCGCCAUUCAAGACGAGUUCCCUGAAGAGCAUGGAGCCUACGUUGUCUUCACCAGCCAGGCUGACGACAGGCGCAGCCGGCGCCAGCAACACAAAGAAGUCAAUGCCGUCGCCUCCCAGGUCCCAGAGUUCAUGCACUGGUCCGAGAAGCCCAUCAGCUGGAGCCGAGCUGACCACCCGGAAGUGAUGCCUUCUCCGGGCUCCUAUGCCCUGGUGUUGGAUGCCACCUUUGCAACAGAGAGGCGAGCUGCUCGCUUUUCCUGAGUCUUGAUAGACGGCAGUAGCAGUAUCAACAUCCUUUACCGCGAUACCAUGGAGAAGUUGUGCAUCAAAGUGAAGCAUCUCCAGCCCAGUCGGACUGUCUUCCAUGGAAUUGUGCCCGGCCUUUCCUGCUCACCAAUCAGCAAGAUCAAGAUAGAUGUUCUCUUCGGAGACAAGAAUCAUUUCCGCCAUGAAGCAAUUUGGUUUGAGGUGGUGGACUCGGAGAGCUCUUAUCAUGCACUACUUGGCUGACCUGCUCUGGCCAAGUUCAUGGCAGUACCACACUACGCUUACCUCAAGAUGAAGAUGCCAGGAACCAAGGGCAUUAUCACUAUAGCUGGAGAUUACAAGAAGUCAGCUGACUGUGCUGCAGCUAGCAGCCGGCUGGCCGAGUUCCUAGUGAUUGCCGCUGAGAAGAAGCUCCUGGACCGGGUGGUGGCCAUGGCCAGCAAGCAGCCGGACCUAUCACCAGAACCCAAAGAGUCAGAGACCCAGGCCUCCUUCUAGCCGGCCAAAGAAACAAAGAAGAUCCCCUUGGACCCUGAACACCCAGAGAGGCACGCUGUCAUAGGUGCCAACCUUGAUAGCAAAUAGGAAAGCGAGCUCGUCGAUUUCCUCCGUGAGAAUCGGGACAUCUUCGCAUGGUCUCCCAAAGACAUGCCGGGUGUUCCGGCGGAUUUCGCCGAGCACAAGUUACACAUGAGAGCAGACGCCAAGCCAGUCAAGCAACCCCUCCGCCUACUGUCAGAGGAGAAGAGAAGAAUCAUCGGAGAAGAGAUCGCCCGCCUGUUGGUAGCCGGCUUCAUUAUGGAAGUUUUCUUCCCAGAAUGGCUUGCCAACCCAGUCCUUGUGCUGAAGAAGAACAACAAGUGGCACAUGUGCAUUGAUUACACGAGUCUCAACAAAGCCUGCCCCAAGGAUCCGUUUGCCUUGCCACGGAUUGACCAAGUGAUAGACUCCACAGCCGGAUGCGAGUUGUUGAGUUUCAGGGAUGCCUACUCAGGUUACCACCAGAUCAAGUUGAACCCGGCAGACCGCCUGAAGACCGCCUUCAUCACACCAUUCGGAGCUUUCUGCUACCUGACAAUGACAUUCGGCUUGAGAAAUGUCGGUGCCACGUUUCAGCGUUGCAUGCAGAAGUGCCUCCUCAAGCAACUCGGCAGAAAUGCCCACGUGUACGUAGACGAUAUUGUGGUGAAGACGGAGAAGCGCAAUACACUCCUAGAAGACCUCAAGGAAACUUUUGAAAAUCUGCGCCGGUUUCAGAUCAAGCUCAACCCAGAGAAGUGCGUGUUCGGAGUACUAGCCGGCCAGCUCCUUGGCUUCCUGGUCUCAGAACGCGGCAUUGAGUGCAACCCUGUGAAGAUCAAGGCCAUCGAGAGGAUGGAGAAGCCUACCCGACUAAGAGACGUCCAGAAGUUCACCGGCUGUCUAGCAUCCAUCAGCCGUUUCAUCAGUCGGCUGGGCGAGAAGGCCCUUCCCUUGUACCAGCUCAUGAAGAAUACCACUCAUUUCGAGUGAAAUGACAAGGCGGAUGAAGCUUUCUCCAGCUGAAGAAGAUGUUGACCACGCCGCCUGUCCUGGCGGCUCCGACUGCUAAAGAGCACAUGUACCUCCACAUCGCCGCCACCAGCCGGGUGGUCAGCACAGUCAUAGUAGUGGAGCGCCCGGAGGACGGCAAGGCACAGCCAGUCCAGAGGCUUGUGUACUAUUUGAGUGAGGUGCUGUCAACCUCAAAGCAGAACUACCCUCACUACCAAAAGAUGUGCUACGGCGUGCACUUUGCCGCCAAGAAGCUGAAGCCAUACUUUCAAGAGCACCAUGGUUAUCUGCACUGCCCCACUUGCGAAGAUCAUUGGCAACAGAGAUGCAUCUAGCCGAGUGGCCAAAUGGGCCAUCGAGUUGCCCCCCUACACCAUUUUCUACCAGCCCCGCACCGCCAUCAAGUCCCAAGCACUGGCCGACUUCCUCGUCGACUGGGCCGAGACCCAGUAGCUGCCGCCAGCUCUGGACUCCACUCAGUGGCGGAUGCACUUCGAUUGCUCAAAGAUGCACACCGGUUUGGGAGCCGGCAUCGUCCUCACCUCUCCCAAAGGUGACAAGCUCAAAUAUACAUUGCAAAUCCACUUUGCCGCCUCCAACGUGGACGAGUAUGAAGCACUAAUACAUGGCCUCCGGUUGGCCAAAGAUAUCGGCAUCCGCCGAAUCCUGUGCUACAGCGACUCCGACUUGGUGGUCCAAUAGUCCUGUGGCGACUGGGACGCCAAGGAUGCGAAUAUGGCGAUCUACCGUUUUCUCGUCCAGCAACUCAGCGGAUACUUUGAAGGGUGCGAAUUCCUUCACGUGCCAACGGCCGAAAAUGAGCAAGCAGAUGCCCUGGCACGAGUCGGCUCCACCCGGCAAGCAAUACCAGCCGGCGUCUCCCUUCAAUGCCUACUCAAGCCGUCCAUCAAGCCUUCUCCAGAAUCUGAGUCCAUCUUCGUGCCGGCUCCCCUCGAAGCAGUCGGAUCCGACUCGGGGGCUGCAGCAGCCGGCCCGGGGACUUCAGCAGGCGGCGCGGGGACUGCGGCAGUCGCACCCGGCCCGGGGACUUCACAACCCGGCCCAGGGGCUGCAGCAGUCGGCCCAGGGACUUCACCAAGCAGCUCGGGGACUGCAGUGGUCGCACCCGGCCCGGGGACUUCACAACCCGGCACGGGGGCUGCGGCAGUUGGCCCGGGGACUUCAGCGGUGCAGCAAGCGGCAACCAAUUCCAACCUGCCGCCUCCCAACCCAACCGCCCUCGUACAAGUGGCCAUAGUAGAAGUAAAGGAAAUUCAAGCACCUUCAUGGGCAUUGCCCAUCCUCAAGUUUCUGGUAAACAGAGAGUUGCCGACCGAUGAGAUCUCGGCCCGGCAAGUGCAGCGCCGAGCAGGACCUUACACGAUAGUAAACAGAGAGCUUGUCAGACACAGCGUGACUAGAGUCUUCCAGCACUGCAUAGAAUCAGAGAAAGGCCAAGCAAACCUCAAAGAUAUCCACCAAGGUGAGUGCGGCCACCACGCGGCUUCCAGAUCCCUCGUUGCCAAAGCCUUCCGCCAUGGUUUCUUCUGGCCGACUACUUUGGAAGAUGCUAAGGAGAUGGUCAAGCAUUGCAAAGGAUGCCGGAAGUUCAGUUCCAAGCAACAUUUACUGGCUUCUGCACUCAAGACCAUCCCCUGGCUUGGCCCUUUGUUGUCUGGGGGUUGGACAUGGUGGGACCAUUCCAGACAGCACGCGGUGGCAUGACCCAUCUACUCGUCGCUGUGGACAAAUUCACCAAUUGGACUGAAGCAAAGCCAAUCAAGAAGUUGAAUGGUCCGACUGCUGUGACCUUCAUUGCAGAUAUCACCAUCCGGUACGGUGUACCACACAGCAUCAUCACCGACAAUGGCACAAACUUCGCCAAGGGAGCUUUGGCCCAUUUCUGCGCGACGCAGGGCAUCCGGCUGGACUUAGCGUCCGUUGCCCAUCCGCAGUCAAACGACCAAGUCAAGCGAGCUAAUGGCCUCAUCCUCUUUGGCAUCAAGCCCCGACUGGUCGAGCCACUAGAGCGGUCUGCCAGCUGCUGGAUUGACAAGCUGCCGGCUGUCCUCUGGAGCCUCCGCACCACUCCGAACAAAUCAACCGGCUUCACCUCAUUCUUCCUCAUGUACGCUGCCGAGGCCGUCAUCCCAACUGACAUUGACUUUGACUCACCUCGCGUCACCAUGUACACGGAGGCGGAGGCGAAGGAAGCAUGAGAAGACGACAUCGAUCUGCUGGAAGAGGGCCAGCUGUUGGCACUCAGCCGGUCCGCCAUCUACCAGCAGAGUCUGCGCCGCUACCACAAUCGGAAGGUCAAGCCAAGAUCCUUCCAAGAGGGAGACCUUGUGCUCCGGCUAAUCCAGCGAACAGCCAGCUAGCACAAGCUCUCGGCCCCUUGGGAAGGCCCCUUCAUCAUCAGCAAGGCAUUGGGCAACGACUCCUACUACCUCAUCGAUGCACAGAAGCCCAGAGCACGCAAGAGAGACGAUUCAGGCAAGGAGUCGGAGCGCCCAUGGAACACAAAUCUUCUUCGAAGAUUUUACAGUUGAUUCGGUAUGUACCACGCUACCUUUUGUAUUAAGCACUAAGAUAUCGGGGCCCUCGAGGAGCACUCGAGGGCUACCCUCUUUAUCUAUAUGAUAAGUCCUAUGCCUAUGAAUGUGUUAUUUCAUUUAUUUUGCCUGGCACCGGGUUCGACCAGUCGGCCCGGGGGCUUGCCGCCUUGUACUAUGUCAAUGCCACCUGCAGUCGGACAAGUAGUGUGCUGGCACCUGAGCCCUCUCUGGCCACAAGCUGCAUCUCGCAGAGCGACUGUCCGGCCGACAAGAGAUAAAGGCAGGAAACGGUGCCCACAUGAAAAAUGGCUAAGGACUAAAGCAUUUGCAUAGGCCGAGCUGGCUCUUCACCUCGCCGACCGGCUGCUGAGCAGCAGGCCGGCCGGUUUCUAACUUAAUUUGCUAUACUCUACCGAACGGCUAAAGUACUUGCCUUUCCCAAACGGCCAAGUACUUGACCCAGCCACAGACUGCAGAGCGGCUGUCCGGCUAGCAAGAUGGCAGCCAUGGGAAGGCGACAAAGAAAAAGCCAAAAGAGUAGAAAAGCAAAACAAGCCGGAAAUCGGCAAAAGAUAAUUUUUUUACCGCAAAAGGCCCUUGGCCAGCAUUCAAUGGAGUUUGAAUACACCCCCAGCGGGUGGAACUGCGCAAACUUAACAGUUUUUGUUCAAGAGGUUACAAAACAGGGAAAGGAAAGAUAACUUGGCCGCCUAGGCCAGAGGAGCAGCAGCCGGAUCAGAGGGGUCGACGGAGGUAGAGGCUCCGGGUGGUGGACCGGCCGCCUGGUGGGUCUCGGCCAGGUCAGCAUCGGCAGCAGUCAGCUCGCCGGCACUCCGCCCGUUGGUCGAGACUUGGUCAGGCUGAGCCGGCCGCCGUCUCCACCAUCCAGCGCAUCGUCUUCGCCGUCCUCAUCCUCGUCCUCCUCCUCUUCGCCUUCAUCGCUCGAGGCGAUCUCCUCCACCGAGUCCUCGCCGCCUUCUGGAUUCACCCCGAACCAGUUGGGCGGCACCUCGACGCCCGCCUCGUCUAAUUCAGGGAGGAAGACGCUGGUGUCCGUGUACUCGGCGAUCGCUGCGGCACGAUGAUAGAGCUGGGGCCUCCAACUCCUCGCCGACCUCGGCAUGAAGAGUGGCCAGCUGGUCCAGGUUCAGCCCAGGGUACCACCCCUUGACGAACUCCAAGGCUCGGUGUGCACCCGCCCGGGUGGAGGAGCCUUUCCAGGCUUCGAUGCGACCGAUGGCCACCUCCAACCAGUCGAAGGUCCGAUUGAUGGUGCGCAGAAGAGGAAAACCCGUCCAGAGGGCGGAGACCACCUGGGCUCCGGCGUGCUGAAGACGGCAGAGAGCCCGAUGCGCUGGAUGGAGACAAGCCUGGAUGGCAAGCAUCUGCUCGGCAAGGGUCCGAGGGGCGUUGGGCGCGAUCGUCGCACCAGCCAGCCUCCGCUCAUCACGGCGAGCCUCGACAGCUUGGCUGGCGCCGACGGAAUAACCAGGGAAAUACUCUGCAUAAGAAGAAAAAAGAAAUAUGAAGCCAGAUGUCGGUUCAUAUGGCAAGUCGGCAGGCGGAAGAAAGAGAAGGACAACUAACCAUCGAGGAGGUCCUCGAUUUCGCCAUAGCCGUCCGACAAGGCCUUCUCCUUCUCGACCCAGUUCGAGCGUUGAGUCUCGAACUCGGCCUGAAGGGCCUCCUCCGCGUCCUUGAGCUUCUGCAGCUCCGCCUUGUGCUUGUCCGCCUGGUCAGCCAGAUGCUUGGCCAGGCGGUCUCGCUCUUGCUCCACCUUGAGGCGCUCUGCCUCCUUGGAGCGCAGUGCGGUUUGGUCCUCGCCCAGCUCCUGCCGCAAGCCGGCAUUGGCUCCUGCAAAGACAAGAAAGAAAAGACAGUUAACAGUCAACAAAGAAAACAAGUAGACACCGGGAAGAUCCGGCCACACUGCUCAGCAGUCGGCCCGAAGCUCGGGGACUACACCCAGCGGGUGCGCUGACGCGCCCCCACGAGAAAGGGAGCGGAGUGCUUACUCCGGCUCUCGGUCAAAUCAGCGGUCCGCUUGGCCAGAUCCUGGACAUGGGAGUUGAAGGCGGCCGCGCGGAUGUUGUGGUAAUCCUGCAACAGAGACAGCAUAAGAAAGGAAGGAAUUAGCACUCGGAACUGACCUUCAAGUUCCGAGCCGCCUGCUCAGCAGCCGGCCCGAAACUCGGGGCCUACACCCAGUGGGUGCGCUGGCGUGGCCCCACGGAAGACUACAAAAAUUAAAAGCAAAACACAAGGAACAUACCCGGACGGCGGCUCACGACGCCAAGAACGUCUUCGUAUAGUCCUUGAGGGCAUCACCUUGGGCCUGAAGUAGGGAGUGGACCUCGUGCGUAGCCCUCUUCGGAAGGCCCGUCCCGCCCCCAGUCGUCCAUUCUCGCGGGAUGGCACUAGUGGCCUCCCCUUCUGGGGCCGAUGAGUUUGAGGCCCCAACCUCCUGCGGCCGUGGCGCCGAAGUCGCCUUCGUUACACGACGGCGCACCGGAGUACGGGCCACCGGAGUCGCCCCCACCGCCAGCUCGCUGCCGACUGGCGGCGCCUGCGGUGCCUCAGGCCGACUGGCCUGAACGUUGACAGUCGGCAUGGGCGGGAUCGCGUCCACCCUCGACAUGCCGGCGCCGCCCCCCUCUCCCUCCGCGACCGGCUGCUCAUUGCCCUCCGCGACCGGCUGCUCAUUGUCGGCUGCUCCAGUCGGUGCCGGGACCCCUGGCGCCGGCGGCAUGGAGCGCAACGGGAUGAGGAGCUGUGGAGCCUGGCCGCGUGCGGCUGCCUCCGCUUGCGCCUUGGUGGCCGCGCCUGCCUGGGCCUUGGUCGCCUCCUCCUCCCGGGCUUUGGCUGCAGCAUCGGCCUGGGCCUUGGCUGCCGCGUCCGCCUCCUCCUGCGCUGCCUUGGCCGCGUCUGCUUUCGCCUGCUCCGCCCUCUCCUUCUCCUCGCGCGCCUCCCGCGCGUUCUUCUCCGUCGCCUCCCGGAAGUCAGCGAGUGGGUCUAUGCGGUGGGCGUUGGUGGAACCAUCCGUCCCCCUGAUGAUGGAGGCGGAGGCCGAUCGCUCAAGAGAGAGCGGGGCUCUGCUCACACAAAACAAGAAGAAUUCAGAAAGGGUUUGCGAAAAAGACAUAAAAAGGACAAAGAAAGAAAUGCUCUUACGCGGAUAUUGUCGGCGGCUGCCUCGGGGCCCUCUAGAACCGGGCCGCCUUCGCGGCGGCUUCCUCCCACCUGGUCGCCGCAGCCGAGCCCUUAGGCUUCUUCGGCCGGCCGCCGUGCAGCUGCGUGCCAGCCCGACGCUUCGGUGCGCUGCCUGGUGCGGGCGGCGCAGCUGAGGAGCUCGCUCCCGCCUUGUUAGCGGCCGGGGGCGGCACGGCUCGGCCUCUUCCUCGUCAUCAUCCGGCCACGUCUCGAGCCCCUCCUCCACCGGAGCCGCCUGUCGCGUCGUCUUCCUCCAAAGCGGCCGCUCCCAAGUCGGGGUCGUCCGCGUCGCUGACCACUCGGUCCGGCAAGUACUCCUGGCCUUGUGCCAGGGCGUCGGCUGCCGGCUGGGUCGUGAAAAGCUGCGACAUGUCCGACUGAUCAGUCGGCAAAGAAGAACUCGGCAGAAGAAGAAAAAACCAAGAAAAGAAAGAAGAGUCGGGAGCUUACAGCAGGAGGCGGACGCGCGCGGGAGUAUGGCCGCUUGCCGAACUGCCAAUCCGACUUCGAGAGCUUGUAGUUCGCGAUCUCGUUCACCAUGCGGGCCACCUCCAUGGCCGGCAUCUCCCGAGUUGACAGCCGGCACGGGUCUCGGUGCCCACUCGUCUGACUGAUCAGAUGAGGAUGGCCCUGGAGAGGGAGAACCCGGUGUACCACGAAGGCGGUCAACAAGUCGGAGGCCUUGAGGCCCUCCGAGUCCGUCACCACCUUGAGCCUGGCGACGACGGCGAUGGAGGCGGCCGACAGAUGCUUCGGCUUGAAGGUCCAGUUGGUGCGCGGCUCGGCCGGUGGGCCGGCUUCGUAAGCCGGCAGGUUGAUGAAGUUCGGCGCUGGGUUGACGUUCUUGACGUAGAAAUAUGACUUUUGCCAUAGCUUGACCGACUGUGUCAAGCUAAUGGACGGGAAGCAGUUCCCGGCUCCUGGUCGUCGCACCGCCACGAAGGCUCCGCACUGAGCCGGCGUGUCCUUGGCAGAGGUGCCAAGUUUGGUGUAGAAGAAUUCUCCCCACAGCUCGAGAGUGGGGAGAAUGCCGAGGUAGCCCUCGCACAACGUGACGAAGGCCGACAGCAGCCCCACCGUGUUCGGUGUCAGGUGGUGCGGCUGGAGGUGGUAAAACUGAAGAAAGGAGCGGAGAAAACCACUCGCCGGCAGGCCGAAGCCCCGAAGGAAAUGUGAGCAGAAGAUGACGCACUCACCUUCCUCCGGCGCCGGCGAGAUCUCCUUCGCAGGCGGGACGCGUGCUUGGACGUAGCCCUCGCCGGGCAGCCGCUGCGUGUUGCGGAGGUAGGUGAUGUGGUCCUCGAUGACAUUCGAGCCAUCCUAGUCGCCGGCUCGCUCUCGCGCCAUGGAAGCAUGGGCUCGACGAAGCGAUGGCGCUGCGAAGAGACUAGGCUUGGUGACGACGGGCCGCGACAGCACUUCAGCGUGGUGCGGAAGUGCGGUGGCGGCAGAGAAGAGAAGAGGGAGAGCGGGGCAAAGGGAGAGGAGGGCGCGCGUGCUAGUGCCACCCCCCUCCUCCCCCUACUUAUAGCCCUGGGCUGCGAAGCCGAGGGGACGGGGCGUGGGGAUCGUGGGAUUAACUGUGCCCACGACCCCACAUUAACCGCGCAGUAACGGCGUGGAAUAAUCACGCCACGGAAUCCCAACCGUUUGCCUCGACCGCAGCAGAUCCGCGCGCGUGCCGAGGCCCGGUGAUGUCUACUACGCAACCUUCUUCUUGUAGACGUUGUUGGGCCUCCAAGUGCAGAGGUUUGUAGGACAGUAGCAAAUUUCCCUCAAGUGGAUGACCUAAGGUUUAUCAAUCCAUGGGAGGCGUAGGAUGAAGAUGGUCUCUCUCAAACAACCCUGCAACCAAAUAACAAAGAGUCUCUUGUGUCCCCAACACACCCAAUCCAAUGGUAAAUUGUAUAGGUGCACUAGUUCGGCAAAGAGAUGUUGAUACAAGUGCAAUAUGGAUGGUAGAUCUAGGUUUUUGUAAUCUAAAAUAUAAAAACAGCAAGGUAACUAAUAAUAAAAGUGAUCACAAACGGUAUUGCAAUGCUAGGAAACAAGGCCUAGGGUUCCUACUUUCACUAGUGCAAGUUCUCUCAACAAUAAUAACAUAAUUGGAUCAUAUAACUAUCCCUCAACAUGCAACAAAGAGUCACUCCAAAGUCACUAAUAGCGGAGAACAAACAAAGAGAUUAUGGUAGGGUACGAAACCACCUCAAAGUUAUUCUGUCUGAUCCAUCUAUUCAAGAGUCCGUAGUAAAAUAACACGAAGCUAUUAUUUCCGUUCGAUCUAUCAUAGAGUUCGUACUAGAAUAACACCUUAAGACACAAAUCAACCAAAACCCUAAUGUCACCUAGAUACUCCAAUAUCACCUCAAGUAUCUGUGGGUAUGAUUAUACGAUAUGCAUCAGACAAUCUCAGAUUCAUCUAUUCAAACCAACACAAAGUACUUCAAAGAGUGCCCCAAAGUUUCUACCGGAGAGUCAAGACGAAAACGUGUGCCAACCCCUAUGCAUAGGUUCAUGGGAGGAACCUGCAAGUUGAUCACCAAAGCAUACAUCAAGUGGAUCACGUGAAUAUCCCAUUGUCACCACAGAUAAGCACGGCAAUACAUACAUCAAGUGUUCUCAAAUCCUUAAAGACUCAAUCCGAUAAGAUAACUUCAAAGGGAAAACUCAAUCCAUUACAAGAGAGUAGAGGGGGAGAAACAUCAUAAGAUCCAACUAUAAUAGCAAAGCUCGCGAUACAUCAAGAUCGUAUCACCUCAAGAACACGAGAGAGAGAGAGAUCAAACACAUAGCUACUGGUACAUAUGCUCAGCCCCGACGGUGAACUACUCCCUCCUCGUCAUGGAGAGCGCCGGGAUGAUGAAGAUGGCCACCGGUGAGGGUUCCCCCCUCCGGAACAGGGUCCCGAUUGGUUUUUGGUGGCUACAGAGGCUUGCGGCGGCGGAACUCCCGAUCUAUUCUGUUCCCCGAUGGUUUUAGGGUAUAUAUAUAUAUAUAUAUAUAUAUAUAUAUAUAUAUAUAUAUAUAUAUAUAUAUAUAUAUAGGCGAAAGAAGUCGGUCAGGGGAGCCACGAGGGGCCCAUGAGGGUGGAGGGCGCGCUUGGGGGGUAGGCGCGCCCCCUGCCUCGUGCUCUCCUCGUUGAUUCCCUGACGUGUACUCCAAGUCCCCUGGAUUGCUUCCGUUCCAAAAAUAACUCUCCCGAAGGUUUCAUUCCGUUUGGACUCCGUUUGAUAUUCCUUUCUGCGAAACACUAAAAUAGGAAAAAACAUAAACUGGCACUGGGCUCUAGGUUAAUAGGUUAGUCCCAAAAAUAAUAUAGAAGUGUUUAAUAAAGCCCAUAAACAUCAAAAACAGAUAAUAUAAUAGCAUGGAAGAAUCAAAAAUUAUAGAUACGUUUGAGACGUAUCACCCGGCAAUGGAGGGCCCCGGCCUGCGGUGGCAUCCCAUCGUGCGCGUGGGCUGGCAGGCGGCCUGGCCGGCUGGCACCACCUGGCGCACGAAUAGCUGGCGGCAAGCCUAGCGCUAGGCUACCGCGCCACCUGGUUCCCGCCGAGAUGUUUCAAAAAUCACCAAGCGGCCCGCCUGAUCGUGUCCGGCUUCUGGCAGCCGGCGCUCCGGAGGACGGACGAAGCAAGACCAAUGAAGACCUCAGAGUAGGAAGCCGCUGAGACCCCUCGCCUUUUUCAGCCGCGGCGCCCCACCAGCUUCGGGGACUACUGUCGUAGUAAUUAGCCACGGGUAGCCUCAUCAGCUCCCCAUGGCUUUUCAAGACAUCAGGGCUGGCUGCGCCCCUCAGGUAUCAAAGACCAAAGCGCCGCCUUCUCGCCGCCGGCUGGUCCAAGCAGCCGGCUGCUAGAAGACGGCAAGGCCCAGAAGACGGCCUCAAAGUGGACCGACUCCUAGCAGGCGGCCUCUAGAGAGGCCGGCUCCUAGCAAGCGGCCCCAAGCGUCCUUAGAGUCUGCCUCCACAUAAAUGCAAUGAGACAAGGCAUGGCUACAUCACGCCUCGCCCCCCCUCCCCAAUCUAGGGCCAAGCGUGGCCACAGUGCAUCGUACCAGACAGAGAUCUCCCGUCCGGCGCGGCACUGUUGCCAUGCUGCCCAUGACAUCACCCCUAUCACAGGGGGCCAUGCUCCCACGACGGGCUGUCGGUACGGCUCGCAGGCUGCGGGCCCCACCUGACGGCGAGAAGCUAGAGAGCGGCCAUCCCUGGCCAGUCAGUUCAAGGGAGGCCGGCUGAUGACCAAGUGGCCCUCCCCCUCCUGGGGAUUUGUGCACCAUUAACCAGAAGAGACGAGAAGCGGCUACAGUGAACGCCCGCCAGGCGGCGGUACUGUAGCCACGCCUCCCCCGACAAAGCAUGCAUCAUUAGUAGCACGGCUACAGUGCUGAGCAGCCGGCAAGACCCGCGGGCGGCGGAUGCGGCCUGUCGGCCAGGUACGAGACAGCCAGCUAGGCCCACCAGGCGGCGGGCCCCAGCGGUCGGCGGAGAAGCCGGCCACCAUAGACACUGACGACCGGGUCCUACGCCUGGCCAGAUUACCUUUGUACCCCUAGGGGUAGGCCUAUAUAAAACGCCCAGGGCACCCAUGCAAAGGGUUCAGACGCUUGUUCUCACACACACCCAUAUAGAGAGAGGAAGCUAGGGCUAGCCUUGUUCUUCUUCCCCCUCUAGAGAAACAGCUCAAGGAGCAAGCUUGUAGCCACCAUUGUUGCUUGAGUGAUCAUGCGGAGACCCCGCAGAGCAGGACUAGGGGUGUUAUCUCCUAGGAGAGCCCCGAACCUAGGUAAAGUGCGCCGACGUUCGUGUCUACGCCAUAUCCCGUUUCCAGGCACCGACGACGUCUUACUAGCUCCCACCAUGAUAAGCCAUCAUUUGGCAUAUGUCGCACCAAACCCCCGACAACACCUCAACUUUUCCAUGGCACCGAGAGCUUCUCCUAGUUCGCCCAAGGCACCUUGCAUUGUCCAUUGCAUAAGAGCAACUCUAGCAGACCCCGCAUCCUGUUGGCCCGUAAAACUCGUUUGCGGUUCGCGCAAAACCGCUUUUGCGGGCUGGCACAGAUGCAGACCCCCCAAACGGAUCCGUAAAAAAGUAUAUUCGUGGAAUAUACCUUUUUACGGGUCGGCUUUGUGGGGUCUGCUCUUUGCACCGCUGUAUCCCGCAUAUCAUCGUCCCACAAAUAUCAAAUCCAACAUAAUUCAACAAUCGAAAACAAACUGAAUUAUUCAAAUCAAACAUAAUACAAUAACCAUCCGCAUUACAAAACUUGUCAUGAAUACAAAUACAAAUGAAUACAAAAAUUAGUCAUUGUCCAGCCCUUUGCCAAUGGUGCUCAAUGAGAUCCUCCUGAAGUUGAAAGUGUGUGUCUGCAUUUUCAAUCUUCUUGUAUGUCUGAAGAAAAGCUCUAAUGCGGUUUGGGUCUCUAGCUGGUUUGACACGGCUACCCACAUUGUCGUAAAAGAAUUCUAAGUUCAUUCCUCUCUCAUCUUCAAGAAUCAUAUUGUGCAGGAUAACACAACAUGUCAUGAUGUUCUUCAAGGUUUUCUUAUCCCAAAAACGAGCAGGGCCACGGACAAUGGCAAACCUAGAUUGCAAAACACCGAAUGCUCUUUCAAUGUCUUUUCGGGCUGCCUCUUGCACCCUUGCAAAUUCACAUUGUUUUUUUGUUUUAGGUUCUUUGAUGCUCUUGACAAAUGUGCACCAAGGAGGGUAUAUACCAUCUGCAAGAUAGUAUCCUUUUGUGUAUUCAUGCCCAUUGAUAGUGUAGUUGCAAGCAGGAGCAUCACCACUAGCAAGCCUAGCAAACAAAUGAGACCGUUGCAACACAUUGAUAUCAUUGAGAGUGCCCGGCGUACCAAAAAAGCAAUGCCAAAUCCAUAAAUCCUCGGAUGCUACGGCCUCUAGCACAAUUGUUGCAUCACGAGACUUGCCACAAUACAUUCCUUGCCAAGCCUUGGGGCAAUUUUUCCAAUUUCAAUGCAUACAAUCAAUGCUACCUAGCAUGCCAGGCCAACCUCGCCUCUCAUUAGAUGCCAUCAAUUUCUUUGUGUCAUCUUCAUUGGGUGCCCGAAGAUACUCAGGACCAAAGACACGGACGAUCACUUUUGCAAAUCUACGCACAUACUCAAUUGUGCUAUCUUCACUAAUGCGAAGAUACUCAUUGGCAUAGUCAGCCGGAACGCCAUAUGCAAUCACUCGCAUAGCUGCGGAGAUUUUCUGAUACGCACUAAAUCCCUUUAAGCCCGCGGCAUUCCUUCUUUGAGUAAAAUACCGGCAAUUUGCCUCGCAAGCUUGAACAAGUUUCACAACGAGGGAUCGGCGCAUUCGGUACCUUCUCCGGAAGAGGUGCGGAGGAUAUGUAGGAUUCUCCGCGAAAUAGUCUUGCAUCAACAUCUCGUUCCCAAGAUGGCGAUUCCAAGGAAUGCAUAGACGCCCGACAGUUGAUCCUCGCCUCCUCUUCCGGUGCUCGUCUUCAUUCUCCUUCACGGCAAGCGCCAUGACUAAUGUUUGCUGCCGGAAGGUCGCAAGCAUGGUCUCAACAUCCGAGUCGUCCGAAUCGGACGAAUCGGAGAGCAAGAACUUCUCGCACGGGCUCAACUCCAUCUACACGCAUACCGGCGCGUCAAUCAACUACACAGCUUGCAAAAUUCACAAAAAAAAGGACUAACUAGUGGCGGGUGAUCCCAGGCGGCGACGAGGGGGCGCGCUCGACGGUGGCCGAUCCCCGGCGGCGCCGACGACGAGGGGCGGCUCUUCUCGCCGGAUCCGGGGGGGUCGGUGCAGCGGCUCGGCGUGAGAGGGUGUGGGGCGGCCCCGCGGCGUGAUUCCGCCCGCAGAUAUGGCCGGAAUCGCCGGCGGCGGGCAGGCGGAAGCAAGGGCGGGCGGCGGCGGAAGGAGGGGGAAAGCGCGUGGGGCUGAAAUGUCCCUCCCGCCAACUGCUUCUCUCCGAUGCAGGGCACCGCAGCCGCGAGGGGAAAACCCGCGUUUUCCCGCGUUAGAGUCGGGAUUUUGCCGCGCCCCUCAAAAAAUUUUACAGGCCGGGACGGGAUGCGGGGUCUGGUGGGGCAGGUUUUCCGGCCCGUACCCGCAUUUUGGCGGUUAUUUUGCGGGUCAGGGGCGAAUGCGGGGUCUGCUAGAGUUGCUCUAAGUCCCACCAGAAUUUUUCCAUAACAUAAUUACAGAAGUAAGCUGCUUGAGGAACUUAGUUAAAGAAACACAGUUCACGGUGUAGGCCAGAACAACUUGUACCACAAAUUUACUAGGAUCGCCUUUCCUGCCUUAGAAGCCUUUGACCCUUCCACCCUAGUCCACGACAACGUAGUGAUCCGCUCGUUCGUGUCGCGGUGGUAAAUCCAGACGUCCGCAGCGCCACAGCUGAAGCUCUUUCCAUCCGCAGUGUCACGGUUGCAGAUCCACCCAUCGGCGGCUGCGCGAUGGCACCACGAGGACUGGAUUGGAUCGUCGCCGCCACCGACCUCCACCGAGGCCUUCGAAUCUCCGGCACGGUGAGCUCCCAAUCUUUCGCCACAGAUUAUAUAUUUUUCUAUGCAUAGUUGUUGCUUCUAGGGUAAGCGAUUUUAUGCUUAUAUGACGAUUUUUAGUUGACGAGAUUUCUAAGAUUGGCCAAGUAAACCAAAAAGGAGGGAGUAUAGUUAAGUUUUUGUUUUAGACCAAUGAUAAACUGGUAGCCUUUACUUGUAUCAUAGGCGUGGCUAGCUUUGACUUUUUGUUUUGUUGAAGCAUAAACAAAAUUCUUUAACUUGUGCUUGUCAAAGCAGUUACACCUUUAAUGUAAAAAAUUAAGGUGAAUUACGUUAUCUGAGGUCUGAAUCUUUGUCUCUCUUCUAGAUUAUAUACCUAUGUGUUGACCCCUGAACAUAAUUAUGUCAAAUAUAACCCAACAAGAUCUAAAUUAUUAUUUUUGCUUGCAGUUGCUUUUUGGUUUUAGUUGCAUUGCACAAGAAAAAAUUAAGAGAAGAGACACUAAGCUUUGCGGAAAUGAAUGAUGUAUGACUAUGUUUAUUUGAGCGAUUACUUUCAAUUUCAUCACGUGACAGGUUAAGUAAUACGAAAAUCAAGGAGUGUUUCAUAUGACUAUGAUUAGUAAAGGCGAGUACCUAAAAGAAAACAUUAAUAUCCCUAACAUACAAAAUGAUGGCGGUUAUUCGUACAAAAUUGCCUGUGGCAAGAAGGGUAUUGGAAGCAGGACAAAACCGCAUGUGUUGUCGGACGAUAUUGGAGGUAGUUUCCACAACAGCCGACUCUGUGCAGAGUAUUAGCGAGAGUAUUAGCGACAUAGGCUUUGAGGCGGAACUGAAAACAGCCGUUGGUCGUCUGUGUACAAGAACCGCUCGAUUAUGUAUACUUGUGAAACUAGAUGAUACUCCAUGCGUUGCUGCGAGAAUAUGUUGCAAUAUAUUUCAAUAAGAUUUGAUUGUAAGAAACAUUUGAAUUAAUAGUAUAUGAAAAAAACUUAGAAUAUAUAUUAUAUAUUGUAUAGUUGAAAAUAUUUGUUGAAUAUAGGUAGUAAAAUAAUAUAAUGGAUUUCCCCAUGCAUGUUGGGUGGGCCUUCGAUAAGGUGGCAUAUGUGCAUGGCUUAUGUGUGUAUGUUGAAAUAAAAAGAAUUAGGCGAACCAACCUGUAGUUGGAUGGUUAGCGGGACUGUGGUAUCCCCAGCCCACCGGAGUUCAAGUCCUGGUGCUCGCAUUUAUUCCUGGAAUUAUUUCAGGAUUCCCGGCGAUGUGCAUUCAGUGAGGGGAGACGUUCCCGUCGACGACGAGGUGCCUAUGUUGACUUCGUAAAUUUCAAGAUGAUAUAUCGGCUUAGUCUUUCGGAGGUGCUCAUAGGGGUAGGGUGUGCGUGUGUGCGUUCACAGGAGGGAGUGUAUGCGCGCGUAUAUGAGCGCUUGCGUCUGUACUGUAUUCAAAACAAAUAAAAAAAUCAGUGAGGAUUAAUUAAUAAUAAUAAAAUAAUUCUCAUACAUGUUGCGGUGGACGUUUGAUGAUGUUGCAUGUGUGCAUGUGUUAUAAGAUAAUAAAAAUAAUGAGGAUGUGAACUAUUGACGUAGAUAGGAUAAUAUGUUUUCAAUCUCAUAUUAUGGUACGUAUUGAUUAUGCAGAUUUGAGGAAGGUUUAAAUAUGGCAAACUAUGGAAUGUUUGACUAGGCCAAAAUUAAGUACAGUUUAAUUGGACGAUAUAUUUAGCAUAUUUGGUGAGCUGAUUGAUGGAAUGCUAAUUGGAAACAAAAUAAAUGCAAUUAAAAUACGAUUGUCUUUGAUUUCGUUGGGCAGCAUAUAUAAUACCCGGCCAGUGCCUCAGUCUAGACGUACUUCCCCAUUCCUCUUCUUCCUAUAUUGAUACAAUUUGUAAGCAGCAACGGUUAGCCAUGGCCAUCCAGCAUCUGCUCCUCAUCGUCUUCAUGGUUUACAUCCUCCAAGCGGCCACCUCCGACACAGCGUACGACCUUUUGGCGAAAAACAACUUCCCGCGGGCUCUCUUGCCUCUGGGCGUGAAGUCGUACGUGAACCAUGAUGGGGGCGCCGUUGAGGUGACCCUCCCCGCCUCCUGCGACUUCAACGUUACGGUUGC